GUAGUGCGGAUUUUUCCAUUUUGAACUAAGAAACAAAAUAAAGACCGUUUUCUUUAAUAAAAAAACUAAGGAUAAAUGGAUUUAUGCGUGGUGUAAGGUUAGGGGUCAAUAUCAAACAAAGAGAAACAAGCACUCCAUGUAAAUGAUACUAAUAAGGUUGGAUAUAACUUACAAAGAAAAACAGUCAAAAUUGGCAACAAACGACCAAACAAUAAAACAAUUCAAAACCCACAAGUUCACGACAACAUAUUUAAUUGAGACACAAACACAAACAUAAACUAUAUUUUAUUUUUCUUUAAUAUUUGUCAAUUUUAACAUAGUUUCAUCUAUUUAAUAAUAUUCAAGAAGAUAAAUACAAACUUUACAAUCUCAAGGACAGCACUAACAAGUCUAUAUAAGUAAUGAGUAAGUGAAAGAGUGAAAUACACAAUACAUCUAGCUAAAGAGAAACCUUUUGAAUCUUGUUGUGUGUGAAACUCUAUUCCAAGAAGAUGAAGGCAAAGAUGGGAGUGGUGGUGAUAACUAGAAGGGAUUUGAUCUACCAAAGUAAGUUAUCCAACAAGAGUAAUAUUUCUAAGAGCCGUAUGAUCCCCAAGAGAGGCCAAGUGAAAGUGGGGAUUGUGUUGGGAUUGUUUCAUAAUGUCUCCUCCAUCUUCUCAUCAAGAUGUGUUCACUUAUGAAGGAAUUAAUGUUAGAGUCUUAUGUUGUACAAAAGCUACUUGUUAGUUUGUUAACAAUUGGGAGGUGCAAGGAGUAAAUGGUAUGAUGAAAGGUGGAAGAAAAAGUUUUGUUCUGUUGAUAUGUAUAAAUAUAUCUCUUGUUUAGUUUGGAAUGACUAAUGAAUUUGUUUGGUUCUUAUUUACAAAUCUCUCUUAUUCUGUUGUUUAUGCUUGCACAAUUCAAGCUAGUAUAUUUUGUGUUUAGAACCACUUGCAAUGCAUUGUCCAGAAGUGAAAAUGUACUACAUAAUCUGAAAGUUGAAGUUCAUAGCCAUUUCCUGCAUCCUGCAUCUUCACCUCCCUGUUUAUAAAAAUCAUAAGCAAAUUCAUUUUAGAACAAAAAUCUCAGCGCACCCAAAAUUCAAGUAAUUGACCCGAAAUUCAUUGUAUGGAUUUCACCCUAGGCUUUAUGCCGUUUCUGAAUAGGAUCCAAAGAAUUCACUUAGGGCCGUUUGUUUCAUGGUUACAAAUUGAAUUCCCAGAAAUCUAAGAUGGGAAUCAUUUAUUCCCAUGUUUGGUAGACAUGCACCCAAAAAUAAUCCAGGAAUGAAUUAUUCCUGGUAAUUUUCUUUUACACUAUACUGCAUUGUUUUUAUUCCCAACAAAAAGGGUGGGUUUUAUUUAUUUGAAAGACCAUUUCUACCCUCCUAAAUAACCGCAAUAUACUCACGUUUUUUGGUUACAUAUCACGUUUAUACACCAAUUUAUGUGCCACUCAUAAUUUUUUCUUCUCUGCACUAAUUUUGCCAUGGGACAGAUCAUACGACUUUUAAUAUUUGGAUGUUUAGGCGGUGCACUUUUAUUGGAGCAAUAAAUGUCACAUUGUUUUUUCUAUUAUUACAAGUCAUAUUAUAUUUUGAUUGCAUCAAUAAAAGAAAACAUAGAUGAAUUGAUGUAUGAAAUAAAAGUAUCAAAUAAUUUAUAAUUUGAAAUAAUAGAGAAAAUUGAAGACACAUCUCUAUUACCAAAUAUGAUAUAAGGGUAUUUUGAUAAUUAUAUAUAUUUUUUAAAAAUAAUUUCCAGGAACUUAAAUUUUCAACCAAACGUAGUUUUUGAACAUUCCUUGAAAUAAAGUUCACACCUUUUAUUCCUAGAAAAAGGUUAAUCCUGGUAAUAAUUUUGGUAACCAUGAAACAAACGCUCCCUUAGGACCUGCUUGAAUCCACACUUACCUAUAAGCACGAGACUUAUGCUUAAGCUAUUAAAGAAGUCAUUGCAAAAUCGACACUUACCUAUCAGCACAAGUUAAAACAAUGAUGGCAAUGCGACAAGGGUAUUCUUGCUCAAUAGCAUAUGUAUUUUGUUUUGAUAGUUUCUUUUAGUCUGGAAUUGCAAUAGUUUUUUGGUUAGUGCUUGACAGUUAACAUUUCUUAUAAAGCUUUGUUAGGUUGCUCUAGCAGAUAUUUGAAUUAUGAAUUCUCUCGUUUGGAAAGGGUUCUGUGUAUUAACUGUAUAUGAUGAUUUUGUAUAUGUUAAGAGGACUAAUCCGAGUCUGCUAUAUCUAUGUCUUGAUAUAUUUUAGUAGUACAUGGUUUCAAAUUGCCCGUAUGUAAAGUAAUUUUUUAUUUCUGUUAGUGACAUUGAUUACUUUGACCCUGUUUUUGUGCAAAUUUAAUUACAAUGCGACUGCAAUUGAAAUCCUUGCUUUAGUAUAAAACAUGAGGAGACAUUGGGAAUCAAAGUCUUGUUUAACGUGGAUCUUUGAUUGCUUAGUUGUGAAUCAAUGUUCUUUAGUUUGGCCAAGCAGAAAUCAAAGCACUGAAACAUUGUGAUUUGUGAACGACCCGGAGAAAAGGUCGUUUAAGUGGCCAUAUCUGAUUUCCAUUUUUGUUAUAUUCAAUUAAUUUCAAAUUUUCAAAAUUAGUUUCGCCUCUCAUAACAACAUUUUGUGCAAUCGUAAAACAAAACCUUCUCAAAUUUCGUAAUUAAAUCUAAGUGACACUAGAUUAAGCAAAAUAUCUAAUUGUGUAGGGCGGCGCUCUAUAGUUUAAAAUACUCUUCAUAGAGUUAAUAAAGGGAACAUAUAUGUACAUUUCUGGGAAAAAUGUUUUCCUAUCCUAUAUAAAUAGAACACUUUGAAUCACUUGGUCUUGUUUUAACCUUUUUCUACUUUACAAUGAAUCAAUAAAACAUGAAAAACAAAUUCUGGUAAAGUAUCAUAUUUAUCCAAUCCAACUUUUUUAUAUCAUCAUGAUAUGAUAUAAGUUUUAUAGUGAAUACAGAGAAAGAAAAAAAGAAUGCAUAGGCUGACCACUCAACCAAAAUAAUGUGUCAAAAAAGUGGAUUGAUUUUGUGGUUAGAAUGUUGCAGCCAAAAUUCAACCUAUCCUGCUGUUGUCUCUGCCAAAGACAAAAGUAGUUCCCCAGUUUACUGCCACGUAAAACCUGUUCCUCCAGCUCAGCACACGUGUAAGAUACGCAGAACGCCAUAUCAGCCAGCUGACAAAACCAGCAAGUGACAAUCCCUUUGCAUCCUAUAACACAAGAUACAUUUUAUAGCACAAAAUCAGAAGCUGUCUUUUGAGUUUGCUAAUUUCUGUUUCUUUUCAUUAAACUCCACAGUGUAAAUUAGACAUUAGAGAUAGAACUAGAUAUAGAAACUUUCCCAUUAUAUUUGUACCUUGGAUUGUCGUAGAUCAACAAGUGCCUUAUAGGCACCUACUGAUGCCAUGCUCCCCAUAUGUUUAUACACAAAUUGUUCUCCAAGUGUGAUGCCAUCUGCAGACAAAGCCUUUCCUCCAUUCUGCUUCCCAAUUUUGUUGAACAACUCUACAAGGAACUUCCCUUGUCUUUCAGCAACCUAUCAGUGACCAGUGCAUAGGAAAGUAUACUCUUCAUCAGUUAAUAAAACAGAGACAACAUUGAUGUUUUGCUUGUUUUUCCAAAUAGAAUGAAAUAGAAGCUUUACUACUUCUGUAGUACUAUGCAUAUGCAUAUAUUAUGUCAUUAGUAUUACUCAUUCAUUAGCCUGUCAAGUAAAGCUUAUUAAUACAGUACCAUUUUUACAUUGGAUUAAAGGACAAUAUAGAUUAAUGUCGGCUUAACUUAGUUUAGGUUUUUUCUUGAUCACUUUAUCCAUAUGUACUGACAAAACAUCAUAGACAAUAAGGCUAACCUGAGCUAAAGCUGGAAGGACUGGCCUUCCAGUUUGUUCAAGAAAACCAGCACAAUCCCCAAGUGCAAAGACAUCUUCCACAGAUGGAACACGCAUCCAUCCAUCAACGCCAAUUCUGUAUCAUUCAACAACAUUAAUUAAAUUAAAACCACAGAAAUAAAAUGAGCAAAAGAUUGAAACAUUUUUUAUUUUAAAUCUGGCUUCACAUACCUUCCACCUGGAGAGCUUGGAAGAUUCAGUGUUUUGACAAACUCAGAGGGUCCAACUCCUGUGGACCAAACCAAGAGACCAUAAGGAACUUCAGUUCCAUCACUCAAAACUAUCUUUUGGGGAUGCACCUCCUUCACAACACCCCGCAUAAGACAAACUCCAGACUGAUACAAAAAUUGAAUGUCUUAGUCUCAUGUAUAAACUUGACAGUUCAUCAUUGAAGAUUGGUAUAUACAUGAUCAAAACUCAAAAGGUUUACCUUUGUCAAGUGCUUCGUAGCAUACUGUCGAAGGCCAACAUCAAAGGAUGAAAGUAUCUCAUUUGCCUAAUUAUGAAAAGUUACACACAGUGGUUAAGUACGUGGUUAAUAUAUUUAACAACCUCAGCACACAAAAUAGACUUCAAUAUAUAAAUUAGAUACCUCAAUGAGUGUGACAUGAAUGUAAUCUUUGACAUGAGUAUAGCGCUCACGAACAUCUCUAGUGAUGAAAUCACUCAAUUCACCACUAAAUUCCACUCCUGUAGGACCACCUCCAAUAACUACACAAUGCAGCAGACGUUUCUUUUCUUCUUCUGAUAUGCCUGUCAUAAUGAAAAACUUUUUCAGCUUAGCCUUUGACAAAAAAACAAUGACAACUUCAUAAUUAUUAUAACAAAUUCAGCUUAAAACUAAACUAAGUAUGGAUAUGAAAAACCCACCUGGAUUUUCAGAAAGCAUCAGAUUAAGGAGAAGUCUCUUCCUUAUUUCUUGAGCAUGAUACACUUCACGAAGAAAAAAAGCAUGUUCCUUUACUCCCUUGAUACCAAAAGUUAAAGGCUCAGCUCCAGCUGCAAUUACAAGCUUGUCAUAUGCAACUUUGAAUUGGUAAGGCUCUUUAGAUAAUCCACCGUUGGUAACUGCCUCGCAGUAAACCUGUUGACAUGAAAUAAAUUGACUAAGCAUUUCAAUAGAGAGAAAAAAAACUUUGUACAAACAUAAAUUUAUUAGUCUUUCAAUUUUUCACAUUGAACAUUCCAUUGUAACAGUACAGUUUUUCUAAAAGAAGGGUAAGUAAUUGUACUCACUUCAUGUUUGUUUGUGUCGACUCCAGUGCAGGAAGCUAAAAAGAAGUAUGAGUUGGGUUCCUUUGCUAGUGCAUCCUGUAUUCUACCAACAGGCUCAGCAACAGACCUGAACUCAAGAGUACCAACACAUGUUGAAGCCAACAAAGGAGUGAAAACCAUAUGAUUCCUUGGUGAUAUGCAGACAACAUCGUAAAUCCUUGUGUCUAGCCCUUUAAGAAACCGACAAGCAGCCCAACCGGUACCGAGAACAACCACUCUAGGCUUUUCACCUGGUUUUGUUGCCUCUAGUCCUGCAUAUCUUGUCGGAUCAUCUUCGAACUCUGACUCAGAUUCCUCUACAACUCUUUGUGUGUUAGGGAGCUGAUGGAAUGCAGUUCCUGUGAUUCCCCUCUUCGAAAAAUUCAUGUUGUUCUGUUCCUUAUUUCGAGAAAUAUACGAAAAUGGUCCAUCUACAUGGGAAGGUAAGGAGCCUUUGGUUGUAUAUGUUCUCUCAUUGAACAUAUUCUUCUCAUGUACAUUACUUCCAACAGAAACACCUGAUCUUCUCAGGUUGCUUCUAGCAAUCCUUGCUAAUGCCAUUGUUAUAGAAUCAGUUCUAGUCACAAUGCUUUAUACUACUUUCUAAAAUUUCUGAAAUCAAAAUCAAAAUUCAAAAGUGUUAGUGCUACAAAAAGAAUGAGAUUUUUUAACAAGAAAUAGCAAACUUUAUAUAUACAAAAAGUGAGUUGCAAAUUGGUUGCUUCAGAACAUGAGCACAGACAAGAAAAGACAAUUGAGGAUUGAGGAAAGCAAGAAAAUCAAAUUGGUUGCUGACAAGUUGGCAGCCAUCAUUUCCAAGAAUAUAGGACAAGAAAAACAAAAGGUAAUAUAGCUUUGAUCAGCAGUUAUUGACAGUUACAAAGAAUGAGUUCCACUAAAAUUUAUAAACUCUAGACAAUGUAAAUGACACAUUGAAUUUGACACAGGUUUGAAACAUGUUCACUUUUUAGGGAAAAGUGACUACUAAAAAAUGAGUUUGUCACAAAACCCUUAAAUUUGAAAUUUAGUAUUUUUUUUUUUGUUAACAAUGUUAUUGAUGCGAAAUAUCAACCAACUUUGCUGAGUACUCUCUAGCGAGGAAUCUGGCUGGCCACCCAUCGUGGGAUCUCCCCUCCCAACCACAUUUUUUCAUCCAAAAAGCUCAAACUUUGCUUAAAGGAUCCAAGCCUAAUUUUUCACUCGGACCAAUGUAAUAGUAGUACAUUUCAAAUUUAGUAAUGUUAACAUGUUUUAUGUAAAAAAAAAAAAAAAAAAACUGCGUUGUUGAAUAAUACUCAUGGGUAAGGCUACUAAAUCCCUAACUUUAGGCCUACCUACAAAAAAAUACUUUUCAUUAAAAAGAUCUCUUAACAAAAAAGGUCAUAUUAAAUCUUGCUUUAAACCUCGCAAAAUUAUUGAGCCGGACAUGUCGAGCGUGUUAAAGGCUAAAGGACGAUCAUAAACCAGAAAAUUGUGGUUUUCAAAAUCAUUUACAGAGUGAAAAAAAUGGUGCAAUUUAUGGAAAGUCGUGAUCUUAGAUUCAAAAUCAGGCGAUUGAAAUAUCAAGUUUCAAUGACAACAGAGACCAAAUCACAAGAAUGAAUAAUAGUAAUUAUGAAUGAAUGACAUUAUUACAUUUUUAUGGUAAAGAAAAGAAACGUAACCUUUUGAUUUUGAUUUGCAGUAGAAGGGUUUAUGUUUUGGUUGCGGAAGGAGGAAGAUUGAUUGAAGAAGUUUUUUCACGCUGUGUUGUGUUGCCCUGAUAUGACAAAUUCUCGGUAUUUAUUAGGUUUGUAAUAAGGGUACCUACUAUUAAAAGUCACGAGUGUUAUUUAUUCUAUUAGUUUAAGGGUAUAGUAUAGUACCCUUUUGAUUUCUCAUGUGCGCCGACUUGAGACCCAAGAAAUAAGGGUGUUCUAGAAGGUCUGCCCCCACUAGCUAUCAAUGCAAAGAACAACAACAUGAAUUGUGUGUUUUACAUGAGUAUGAUAUAAUUUCUAAAUUAAUUAAUAUUAAUAGUAUAUUCUGUUUAUUUAUAUUAUUCUUAUUCUUAUUAUAUCACAACUAAUUAUGUGGAAGCCGUCAUGGGGUGUGAAGAAUUGAAACAACACCGUUUGGGGGUUGCAAAGACGACGAUGUCCCUGUUCAAUGACUUUCUUUAUUUGGAAAAUGAAAAUGAGAGAGACGUUGUUGGGUCCGGUCAUUCCAAUCAAUUUUGACUAAAUAUGGAAACUUCCAUUGUUUAUUCAUUCAUGAAGGAAGCAAAGAAUGUGGUCAAAGAAGGUGGUCAUUAAUAAAAAAAUUCGAGCUGGUGGGGACGCGGUUCAACAACAUUUGGUCUUUCAAUUACGUGCGGGUCCAGUCAAAUGAAAAGGAGUUUAUUGCUCAAUUUUUUGUUUUCAUUCGUCUCUCAUGUUACUCCAGAAAUAUUGGAAAUUCUUAUGAAAAUUGAUCUCUUGAUAGUAGGACUAGGAUGGUGGACAAGCAUCUCAAACUUUCCAAAAUAUAUUUAUAAGAGUUUGAAUGGCAAUUGUUUUAAUUAUGUAUUGCUGAUACAUGUAUUUAAGUACAACGAUAUGCCUUGGCAUUAAGAGAUAACUACCUAGCUUAUUCUAUGGUAACAACUUUAUCUACAAACAGCUGUGCAAUUCAAAUUUGAAAUAAUAACGAGAUAUGUAUGACAGAUCACUAUCCUUAACAUUAGGAUUAUUUUGUUGGUCUAACAAUAUUCAAUAGCGAACGGUGGUUACGAAUCUUUUACAUUAACAAAAGAGUUAGGAUGCUAUUGUAGGGACAUAUGCAAUAUCAGAAACCAAAAUUUUCGAAAAGUAAAAAUAUUCAAUACAUAUUAAAAAUGUCAUAAAGGAUAAAUGAUUGAUUAGAUAUUAGUUACACAAUGUACAUCAUUCAUUUCAAACAAAAAAAAAAAUGGUUAAAAAUCUUCAAAACGUCCUCCUCUUACAUGCGACUUGAUACUGAGUCGUUGAGUUUGUUUCGUCGACAAUCUACUACAAAGUAGAAUAGAGGUCGUCAUCGUAUGAGGUACCACUUGUCAUCCCAUCAAAGCAUAUGGUCCUACCCUCCUGACUACAUAUAACGUAUCCACAACAUCCCUUGCAUGAUCCUCCUCUAUCAAGUCCUCCAUAUUUGUUGGCUUAGGUGGUUCUCCCUCAAAUGGAGCACUAGUUAUACCCUAUAAAACCAGGAAAUGUAAUCCUCUAUGUGUUACCAUUGUGUCUAUGGAAAUAGACCAUGUUCAUCCUCAUGUAUAACAUGUAGCAAAAAAUAUUGGAAAGCUUGGUCUACAUGGAAGACAUUAAUAUCUGGUACGAAGGAAGGAUGCCUCGAAGUGGUCUACAUACGACCAUAUGACCUCAUCGCCCCGCUCUGAAUGAAAAGUGACAAUAAACCAUCUUGUGGCCACACUUUAUCCAAUCGAAGUACCAAUAAAUUUCUUCGCACGAAAGUGUUUGACGAUAUUCUUCAUAGAGGUUGAAGAUCACGUAAUUGACCUCUAGACGGUCAAAGAAGGGUUUGUCAUUAUCUUGUGACUUAUGGACCUUGUCAGGAACGAACCAUGAAGCAUGUGGCAUGUCGAUAGUAUAGUUGGGGUGGACAACAUAUCGAUAUAUACCGAUGAAGUGAUCCAUAGCCUAGACCUAAAACAAACACAAACAGAAACACAUAUUAUAAACACAAAUACAUAUUAAAUAUAUAUAUAUAUAUAUAUAUAUAUAUAUAUAUAUAUAUAUAUAUAUAUAUAUAUUAUCCUCCAACAGAGUACAAUAUCUUAAGUACACUUUUCAAAUCUAAAGCUUUGGUCUGAUGAUCCUCCAGAUAGAAGAGCAACAUCUUGCUCUUGGGACAUUUUUGCUUGAUGGUUCACCAACUUACCAUGAAUAGGUAAGUGAAAAGAAAUAACACAUCAUCCAAUGAGAUGGUCUUUUCACUAACGGGGAGGUGAAAUCUGAUGGUUUCUUUAUGCCAUUACUCUGUCAAAGUUCCACAUAUGGGGUUUGAUUUGUUUAAGUUUGAAAGCAAUGGUGUUUGGGUGUUUCGUAAUUAACUACCAAUAGAGGUAUUUUUAGGCGCCUAAGGAUUAAUUUAUAAAAAAAAUUGUCAUCAUAUGUGAAGAGGCCUUUUGGGCUUUCUCGCCCGUGGAGAGUAUGACACACACUAUUUUUGAACAAAAACAAAAGUGUGCAUAGUUUUUGAAAAAUCAUUAAAUAAAUUAAUCUUGAUGGUAAAAUAUGUUUUGUCAAACAGAUAAUUUUAUCCACAUUUUGUUGAUAAACAAUUAAGAAUUUUCCAAAUAUCUUUAUUAGUAAUGUUUUAAAUAAUAAUCAAUUCAAUAAAAAUGUUGCAAUGCCAUCACGUCUAAAUGUUACACCAUAACAAUUGAACGUCAAAUAAUAAAGAUCAGAGGAUGAUCUAUCAAUGUUGCGCUGAAUCAGUCAUCAACUUUAUUGACAUUCUAAAAUAAGAAAUAACAUAAAGCAAACAAAUAUUUCAAAUGUCUCACUUAGUAUUGGAGCAAUAUACUUCUAUUUAGCAAAACCAUGAAAAUUCUUUAAUGAAAAUAGGAGUAAAUACACUUUUACUAAUUGCUCCUUCCCAUCUCAAGUCCAUCCCCUUUACCAUCAUGGUCAACAAAUCUAGACCAGUAUGGGUGUCCCUUCCAAACCUUGCUCAUCUCUUCAAUUGGAAUGCCCUUAGUUUCAGGCAACAUGAAAUACACAAAGAAUGUCAUCACCACUACAAAGAAGGCAAAGAAGAUAAACAAGCCAAACUUCAUGUGACAGAGCAGGGUUAAGAAAACUUGUGCAACAAAGAAUGUGAAAAACAUGUUCACAGAUACAUUGACACUUUGAGCAGCCGAUCGAAUCUCCAAUGGAAAGAUCUCACUUGUCACCAACCAACCAAGAGGACCCCAUGACCAAGAAAAUGCUGCUACAUAAGCGCAAAUGAAUAGCACCACAACAAUUGCAUACCACUUUGGUAACUCACCAGGGUUUCCAUCAAUUCCAAAUUUGGCUCCAAUAGAUGCAGCAACUCCAAUCUUUGCACAUCAACAAAUAUAGUUGGAAAAAAAAUGUACAUUGUUAAAUUAUAAAAAUAAAAAAAAAAACAUAACUCUUUUUAUUCUGGUAAAAAAAAAAAUACACAACAUAGUUACCUGACAAAUGAGCAUUUGAAGGCCACCUUCAAGAAAAAGGGCUCUCCUACCCAAUCUAUCAACUCCAAAAAUUGAGAUAAUGGUACCAAAAGCAUUAACAACGCCAGUUAUCACAGAUGACAUAAGGGCAGCAUCAUCCUCAAACCCAACAGAACUAAAUAGCACAGGUGCAUAAAACAUUAUAACAUUGAUUCCUGUAAAUUGCUGGAAGAAUGGAAUCAAUAUGGCCAUAGAAAGUUGAGGCCUAUAUUUCCUUUGCAACAAAUUCCUCCAAGGGUUUUUCACUUGCAUGCAUGCUUCACUAGCUGCUACAAGGUCAUUGAACUCUUCAUCAACAUCUUCCACUCCACGGAUUCGCUUAAGAUGAACCUUGGCUCCAUCUCGAUCACCACGUUCGAUCAUUGAAUUAGGGGUGUCCGGAAGGACUAUUGAUCCAAUAGUUAUUAUAAGUGCUGGGACCAUAGCACCACCCAAACUCAACCUCCAUCCUAAUCCACCUUUGAGUUUGGAAAAGAAGUAGUUCAAUAUGUUGGCCAUAAGAAUACCAAUUGUGAUUGAUAACUGGAAGCCAACACUAAGAGCUCCUCUGUAUUUGUAGGGAGCCAUCUCAGAGAGGUAAAUUGGCACAGACUGUUAAUCACAAAUAAAUUAGAUGAGACCAUGGUAGAUUAGAUGAAAUAAUUUUGGGAUGGGACCAGUUUAAUAAUUUUUAGAUGUAAUCAGGUCUUUGUCUUAUCAAAAAAAGUAUCCUUCAAAAAAAAAAAGGUCUUUGUUGAUAAGUUGAACAUUUAUUGUUACUAUCUUGCACUGUCAGCAUAACAAAUUGUCUAAUUACUUUUUAAAAUAUAUGUAAUUUAUAAGAAUUUAAUAACUUUGUAUCGCAAUUUAGCAGUGGAAAAUGUUUACACAAAUAUUUAGUCAUACUACACUGUCUUGCAAUAAAUAUUUCACCAUAUCAGUGUUUUUUAAGUGUGACACUAUAAAUAUUAGUGUUACUUUAAUAUAUUAUUAAUUACUAAAUUAUUACUAUGACUGUAAAAAAAAUUACUAAAUUAUUAUAAAUUUAUCAUAUUAUAAUACUACAUAUUAUUUUUUGGUGGUGGAUAAUACUACGUAUAACUUUAAUAAAUCAUCUACCAAAAUGCUUAGUCAAACAAUUAAUAUCAACAUAAAUGCUUAGUCAAACAAUUAAUUAUAAUAAUAAUAAUAAUAAUAACAAUAAUAAAUUAUUAAAUACUAUAAUUAACUAAAAAUAUAAUUAAUAAAAAUACCAAGUGUGUGUAUAUAAUAAUUUAAUACCAAAAAAGAUAGUGCACUAACAAAAAUAUAUAUAAUAAUUUAAUAAUAACAGUGUGGGACCCUCUAAAAAAAAGUGAGGGACACACAUUAAUUUUACAUAAUAAAAUUAUGAGUGUUAGAGAAAGUGUUGAAAAGAAAGUGUUUUUAACACUCCUCUAAAAUAUUUUGAUUUUAAUUAUAUUUUUCUUAAAAAUUAUAUAAAUGAUAAUUUGCGAUAAGUUCACGUUGUAAAAAGUUUUACAUCAAAAUGAUGUAAACUUAAGUACAUAAAAAAGGUAACUUUGGAGUAAAUAAACUCAUUAUCAGAAACAAUAACAAUGGAGCAUAAUUUUAUGUAUUCUUAAUCUAAAUCAUGGCAGAUUUGGAUCUACAACACAUUGAAAUAAUACGAGAGACAUGUCUAUAUUUUGUGCUAAUGAAAAGAAGCUAAAAAUAUUAAAAGGAAGAGGAUAUACUAAUAUACCUGAUUAGCAAAUCCAAUACCAAAUCCUAGUAAUAUCCGACCAACGAUCAACAUCCAAACGUGUUGGGCGAAGCCAUUAACAAGGGCACCAAUGAGGAACAAUAAACCUCCAAAAAACAUGGAAAGUUUCCGACCAAACCUACGGGUGACACUCGACGCCACCAGCGAAGACAACAACGCGGCUAGGUACAAGGACGAUGUAAACAUCGUUAGGAUCUGGCUAUCGUACUGACAAUACUUAUUUGAUGACGUGCCCAAGUUUUUCUUCCGAUACACCAAUGGAAAAAACUUCAACAGAAAGGGAUCCAUUGACGUCACCCCACCUAACCAAAAUUCAUGCAAUCAAAUCAAAUCAAAACACAUACAAUAAACUCUAUAGUUGUAAACUAUCGAUUUCAGUUGCAAUUAUGACAACAAUAUAAAAGAUGAGGUCUCUCUACAACGAUAUCACAGUCGCAUGGACCAACUUUACACGUAUUUUAUUGCAAUUAAAGGUUUACAACGUAACUGCAACUAUAAAUAUAUACCUGAAAUUCCAAUAUCGUAGCCGAAGAUUAAACCUCCCAUUGCUGCAACAAUGCAUGUUACAGUAACAAAAGGAGUGAGGUUGCCGGGGUACUCCUUGUUGCCUCCGCCGGUGGGUAUUCCUACUGCAGGCAUUUUUUGCUUCUCAGUUUUUUUCUGACUUUGGUAGAGAGAGUGAAGACCUAUAGAGAUUUAAGAUGGGGUGGGCAUGUAAAGUGUUUAUAUAAGAAAUAAUUAAUUUUGGUUAUAUUUCCGAUGAACAGUUCACACACACAUGUAAAUAUAAGUGAACGUAUUUAAUACUUCACUACCAAAAAUAUAUCACUACAAAAAAAAACGUAUAUAAUACUUGUUUCCAAAACAAAAUGUAUAUUUAGUCAAAAGUGGAUAAGUGUUAAGGAGGAUGGAUAAUUUUUUCACUUAUUACUUGAAAAAUGUACUUGUCUUUUUUUCAAGUAUUACUUGAAAAAUUAUAUUAAUAAGUCAAAAUUGGAUAAGAAUUAUAGAGUAGGUUUGAUUGGCAAAACAUUAAAUACUAGAAGAACGGUACAAUGUAUUGGAGAGAGAUGCAGAGAUGAUUUUUAUGUUUGGAAAUAAAAAUUAACUACUGUUAUCACAGUCCUAAUUUGCCAUUUAUAUGCAUUUUAUUUUGAUCAUUGUUUAUUCAUUAACAUAUAACACUUGAGAUUAUUCAAUGAAUCUUUUUAGACUGGAGUAUUGAUCAGUUAAGAUGAGUCAUAUCCAAGUAUCAAGAACAAAAUUAGUUGAAAAAAUUAUGUUGGAAUUAAUCUUAGAAUAUUUGACUUUUUUACCCUGAUUUAAAUAUAAGGCUUAAUUGAACUCCGGUCCCUUAACUUAAUUAUCUUCUUCAAAUUAGUCCCAUAGCUGUUAAAAUCAUCAACUUGGUCCUUUAUCUUGUUUUCGUCCAUCAAUUUGAUCAAAUUUUGAUAAUUUUAAUCUUCUAAAAAAAAAGACUGUUGGAUUACGGAGAUCUAUCAGAUUUUAUAGUGUAUCGUCAACACCUAAUUUAUUUACUUUCUUCUUCUUCUCCCCUCAUCUUCAUUCAUCCUUCACCAUCUCCAUAAAAUAAAAUAAAAUAAAAAACUCAAAAAAAAUCUUUAAGCCAUUAAAAAAAAAAUAAUCAAAAGUAAACACAUCCUUCAAAAAUCCUUUAAUUGUGAAAUCAACUAAUUCUGCAAAUCCAUGAAGAACAGCUGCAAAAACAACAACUGUAUUUUCUCACCUCCUUCCUCUCACAUUUCUUCUUAAUGAUUUCUCUCUCGAGUGAUUACCACCAAAAUUCCCAAUUACCCUAAACCUGUUUACUCACUAUUUUGUACUAUGUUGGUGUCAAGAACAAGAAUGUGCAGAUUCUUCUACGCCACCCCUCCGAUCUGAUUCAUCCACAUGACCCCUCCCUUCGACCGUUUGACACAUCAACCCAGAUUUUUGUUGUCGUUUGACCUCUCUUUGUAGUCACAACAAGAAAGUCAUGAAAAGCUACCCCCUUUGAUAUAUUUGUUGUCACUGAAUUCUGGUUUUUUUUUAAGGUUUAAAAACAUUGGAUUUUGAUUAUAUUUGUUGAAAUUGAUACAAAAGUUAUAAAAUUGAUUCUAGUUGUUGAUGAAUUUCUGGGGUGGAUGCUUCUCAACCCAAAGAUCUGUGGUAUACAUAGAUAUCCUUUUAUACUUCUCCGAUUUGAAAAGAUCUGAACUCUUCUUUCUCAUUCUGAUGUUGUUUAUUCGUGAUGUUUAAUUGAUGUUUACUUGUUUUAUUAAAAAAAGGGAAAAUGAGUUUUAACAGAUGAUUCCUGAUGCAUUUUUGUUCCUUUUCCUGCUGCGUUUUUAACUUCUGUUUCCGUUGUGUUUUUGUUGUUGGAAAACUAAUUCCAUCUUGGAGUAAUGGUUGUGAGUUUAAUUGGGACAGUUAAAGCCUUUUCCAUCUUUACCAAUACAAUUCUGCUCCUGCAUAUUUCAAUUAACCAAUUCAAUUCUAGUUUUUUCAUUAAUUAAUUGUUAUGUUUUAAUUGUUGUGAGGAAAAUGAUUUUCUAUUGCAUUGUGUUCUUGUGUUUUUUCGAGAUUAACAAAAUCAAUUUUUAUUAAUAAUGUGAUUCAAUUAAUUUGAGAUUAUAACGAAGAUGAAGAUGAGAGAAGAAGAAGAAAGUAAAUAAAUUAGGUGUUGGUGAUACACUAUAAAAUCUGGUAGACCUUCGUAAUCCAACGAUCUUUUUUUUUAGGAGAUUAAAAUUAUCAAAAUUGGAUCAAAUUGAUGGACGAAAACAAGAUACAGGACCAAGUUGAUGAUUUUAACAGCUAUGGAACUAAUUUGAAGAAAAGAAUUAAUUUAAGGGACCGGGAGUUUAAUUAAGCCUAAAUAUAACUAGGGAAUUAAAUGUUAAAGAGUGUCCUUGGACCAUUGGUUAAGAAGAAAAAAAUAGCAAUUUUGCAUUAGAAAAUGGUGAAAAACGAUGAAUUUAACUUUUUAAAAGUUAAAAUAUUGUUGAAUCUAAUGCAAAGUUACUCAUUUUAGUUUUCUUAACAAAUUCCUAAGGGCACUUGUUAGCACUAGGGGUGGACAACGGUCGGAUUCGGACAGUUUCGGGCCAAAAAUUGAAUAUUUGAAGCAAACCACGGUUGGAAAAAUUCAGCCACUUCCGUCCAUUAGUGUAUACGGUUUUGUCGGAUGACGGUUCCAUCGGGUAUCGAUUUUAGAUGGGUGGGUUAAAGUGGUUUCGAAUCAAUAAAAAAAUUGAUCUUGGAGAAGAAAAACUCAGACAUUACCACAACAACAUACGUGAAAGAAAAAACCCAUAAACAUCUUCAGCAUAAAUUGUUGAAUAACAAGUGAAAAAUCGUUACAGAUAAACAAAAGUAUUUUCUUUUUUUGUUUAGUGUAGAACAAAUUGUUACAGAUAGAUAAUUAGUGAAAAAUAAAAUAAAAUAGGAGAAGAACAUCUCUUUGAAACAGAUCUGAUGUAAAAAGAACGGAUCUGAAACAUAUGAAACUCGAUCUGAUGCGAAUGAGGAAGACAAUGUUUGGUGAAUGAAGUAAAACAUUGAGAGAGAGAGAGAGAGAGAGAGAGAGAGAGGGGAGUAAAGUGCAACCCUUUAUUCUACACACUUACGAAAAGUGCAAUCUUAGCCAUUCAUUUUCUAUUGGUAAUUGUCAAUAAAAAUCUAACGGUGCUUGUAAGCUGAGAUAAAGUGUCUUGGAAGGCGGUCGGAUUAGGAUUUCGAUGGAUUUGGAUUUUCAGUCCGCAUCUGCCCAUUGCUAACUGUGUAGAACCGAACAUUCAACCCGUUUCACCCGUUAUUCACUCGCCCGCUUGCCAGUUUUCUCUUGCGGAUGAAUCGGGUUCGGACGGUUCAGCUUUUUCUGUCCACCCCUAGUUAGCACAACUUAUAUAGUAACUAAUUACACAUACUUACGAGCACUAACUCCAACAUUAACAAAUAAAAAUGGUAUUAAUCUCAACUAAUCCGUUAAAGAUCUUGCUAACGAGUAUCCUAACAGCACUAUUUAAGAAUUUUCAAUGCAUUAAAUUCAUCUCUUUCUAUAUAAAAAAAAACUUAUUAUUUACUCCCUCUGUUUCACAAUGAGUGUCACUUUAAUCAAAAAAAAUUGUUUCAAAAUAAAUAUCACUUUACAUUUUCAAUACAACUUUAAUUUUUUUCUUCCAACUUUACCCUCAAUAAAUACUGCAACGUUUCUUUCACAAUUUUCAAUGCAAUUUUAAGUUUAUCUUUUUCUUAUAAAGUCAUGGCAAUUUAGUAAAAGUGAUAUAUCAUUAUUUCAUUUUAUUUCUUAAUAUGUUUGUUUGUCUUUUUCUUGUUAAAAAGUAUUUUGUUUAUACUCGUUAACAUUUUCCAUCCGUUAAAUAUGUAAUCUUAUAAGCAAAACUCAUACUACAUAUAAUUUCUCUUUUCUUUUGUCAAUAGUUGAUUGUUUGUCGAGUCAGCCAUCAUAUCUUAUUGAGAAAGAAAGUGGAAUCAGCUGGAAAAUUGAGAUUGUCCAUUUUUCCUCUUUUCUUCUUUUGGUGGUGAUUUUUCCUCUUUUCUAAAGUAUAUAAGAUUUGACCAUUGUGGAAUAUUAGGAAAAACUACCGCACGACGUUGGAUAAUUUUUCAAACCAAGUACACUUUAAUAUUUCCUCCCGUCUUUAUUAUAAGAAAAAGUUGAUUUUUUAGGUUUAUAGAAUAAUUAAUGUAUCUUAUUAUAAAUAUAGAUUAGAUACAUCACUUACACAAUGAACCAAAAAAUCAAUUGUUUCUUAUAAUAAUGACCGAAGAGAGUAUUAAUCAAAUUAAAAUAUUAAUAAUACAAUGCACACUCAUAUUCUUUCAUAGUUGGUGGUCGAACCCGCUCUUAUGUAUGGACAUAGACUGACUUUUUAUGUAUGGACAUAGACCUACUGUUGUGUAUGAUUGACUUGACUGUAUUCUUUCCGUAAUUGUUUUGGCACACCUUGUGCUAUGACAAUUACAAUGUCAGUGUUAAUAUAAUUCAUUUUUGUCUCUUCCAAAAAAAAAAAAAAAACAUAAACCCUCUGUUAAUAGAAAAAUGACUGGUGAUUCAAAGUUUAGCUGCAAGAUAAAUAAAACUUAGAUAAAGAUGAUUUUUUUCUUUUGAGAGGUAGAUAAAGAAGAGUUAACAUUCUCGUCAUUUUUUGUCAAAAAAAAAAAAAAAACAUUCUCGUCAUUUCUCAUCAACAAAACUUAAUUGACACUUUGUCAAAAAAAAUUAAUUGACGCAGAAAUAGAUAAUGAGUUCCACCAUUAUUGAAAAAAAAAAAAACUUGAAUAUGUAAAAAAAAAAAGUCAAAUGCAUCUAAAAGUCUAGAGCCUGUUUGAAAUAGUUUUUGUUUUCAGUUUUUGAAAUAUAUAAGUCCUCUUCUCACAAUAGUUAUCAUUUUAUAUGUUUUAGUUUUAGUCCCCAAAACUAAAAAAUUCAAAACUGUAAUUUUAAAAAAUAGUUUAGCGAAAAAGUUUUUAAUUUUCAAGUUUUUAAAAACUAAAAAUGAGUUUUUGGAAAGUGUUUCAAACUGACUUUAAGUUUCAAAAGUCCCAAAGUGGUCCUUUAAGUUUCAAAAGUCUCAAACAAGUCCUUUUAGUUUUUGAAUCGUUUCAAACAAGUCGUUUUAGAGGAUGAUGGUGAUGAUUCAGAUGAUAACAACAAAGAGCAUUAUCCACCUUUGUCAUGCCUAAAAAGAUGACUAAUUUUAAGUGGGUGUUAGGAGCCAGAUUUGGUACCAAAAAUGAGUUCAUGGAAGCAAUUACCAACUAUGCUAUCUACAAUAGAACUUGUUUGAAACGAUUCAAAAACUAAAAGGAUUUGUUUGGAACCUUUGAAACUUAAAGGACCACUUUGAAAAAAAUGAAAAACUUAAAGGAUCUUUAGAUGCAUUUGUCCAAAAAAAAUCAUCUUUUAAGUUUAUCUCUCUUUAAAUUGAGUCGUCUAUUUAUUUUGGGAAAUUGAGGAUGGUAACUCAAUCAAGAAGGGUAUUAUAUUAAUCUUGAUAUGCUAUUUUCAACUGUGAUCCUUUUUGAAUUUUACAUGGACAAAGCUCAAGAUUUGUGUUUCUUCAUAAUUUGAUUUAAUUUUCUUGUAUUUUUUGCUAAGAUACCAUAACAUUUUCACAAUCAAAGUUUCUUAAAAAAAAAAUGUUUUUAAUUGAAAUCAAAGAACUACUAUUUGAUUUAUUUUGUAAUAUAGUAGAUUGUAAAUUGGUUUUUAGCAGUUUAAAUUUAAAAAAGUUUCUCUCGUGAGAAGUAAUAGUAACCAAAAUAUGUAAUACUACUGUAUAAAUUGUGCAUGCAUUUGAGAAGAAAAAAUAUAUACUGGUUCGCAUAUAUUAUCUUAAAAAUAUAUAUCGAAUUAACUAAUUAAGGACGAAUCAUUGGAAAAUUUUGAGUUCAAAUCUUAUUUUAAACAAUUUGGAUCUUUUUUGCAAAAGUUGUUAGACUUUACUUACCUAGUCGAAUUUCAUAUUAAAAUGGCCUCUUUCGCUGAGAUCCAGUGGGUUAAGGAAGGAAGAAACAGUCAUCUUUAAAUAUAUACACUACUGAUAUAUAUUAGUUUUAAGCUUGAGCUAUUCUGGUCUUCGGAGUGAAAAUGUGGUUGAGGAUAGCUGCAAGUCGCACACCACCUUGAGCCAGCCUUUUCUCCACAAUAGGCAACCGAGAAAGGAAGUAGUCAUCUACAUCAUCAAGAAGAAAAAAAAUGUAUGAGAAGUCAUUCUUCAGGGAUUAUGAAAUAAAGAGAAAAAAAAUUGUACACUGCUGCAAUCAUCAAAAGUGUGCAUUGAUGUCCAAGUACAAAGAACAAUAUGAGUAUAUGACAGGUAUUUUGGAUUUUGGUUUUAUUGUUGUUGAUAAAUCGAUAAAUAAAAAAACGAUUCACUAGAAAUCUAGAAGAGAGCAAGAAGGCAAUGCAUGCGGAUCAAUAAUCCUCUUAUCUUAAAAUAGAAAAGAACGUGAUACAGAAAAGCAUAGGAUGAAAUAGAUUUGUCCAAAUGAAAAAUCAGUCCCUUUUUUUUAUAAAACAAGGAAGCUUUCUUGAAGCUAAGGAAAACAAUGAGCUCAAGAAACAAAAGAUGAGGAGGAGGAAGUCUCUAGCUGAAGACUCUAGAGUUCCAAAAAUAUUUUCGUUUAUCGAUGAAAAACUAGGAAAUUACCUUCCAAAGUGCUUCCCGGUGUAGCAUUCUUAUACGCAAACUUGCAUGCCAAGCUAAUACUCUCAGAAGCAUACCUGAAUAUAAUCAACAAAAUCAUGAUAUCAAUUUCUUAUCCUCAGUUGUAUGUGAGUAAUUAUUUAAUAUCUAGUAAUAUGCAAUUAUGGAAAAUCAAGGGAAGUCCAUGUCUGUCAGAACACAAACACAGGCUAACAUUUUAUAGCAUUGAAUCUGAAUAAAAUUCAAUAACUAAUUUCAAAAUCAACAAUUGAGUAUUUCAGUGUAAUUUCCAGGCGAAGAUGACAAUUAUGACAAUGAGGCACACCAAAUGAAUACAAGAAACAUGGCAACAGAGACAUGAAGAUAUUGACUGCCAAGCAAUAAAAAGUCUAAACAAUUCAAUAUUCAGCAACCAAACAGUUAAAACUAGAGCAAAAUGAUGGUGGAACAGGAAAUUUAUUAGGCACGCACCGGUCUGGACAUGCUGUGUGGUUGUGUGCACAAUGUUCCCAAAUAGAUACAUCAUUUGACCAAAUAUCCUGCAAAAAGUGAGUAAAAAUAAUAGUUGGUCUUGGGUCAUAUACAGGUAUGCAGUGCGAGUCCAAGCAAAGAAAUAAGUGCGAUAGCCAAAAGAAAAAACAUCAACUUAUCUAUGCCUGGUAUCCCCAUCAUUUGAAUAAAUGCAUAAAGAUAUAGGGAAGAAAUUACACUAAUAUUCCUUUGAAUAGCCUGUAUCAUAGUUGAAAGAUCUGAACCAUAGAACUUUUUCAGAGCAGACUCAAUAAUCAUGUUAUCCCAUACCUGGAACAAAACCAAACAUGCUGAAUAUACUAUAUUAUUGACAAGGACAGGUAGCACAAACAAUAUGAUCAACAGAUCAAAACCAAAAGAAAAUGUAUACAAGAACAUAGUGGCAAGGUAAAUAAGAAGCAAUUUCAAAGGUAGGUGAAUCUUUAGCUACACAUCCUUGGCUAUGUGAGAAUAUGACAAAUCUUUUAAUUAAAAAUCUAAACCACUUUCUAUCAGAAUACAAAAGUAUGACAUCAAACGCCAAGUUUAAGAAUCUAUAGCAUACAUAGAAUUCAAAUUUAUUACUUUAACCUUUUAUUCCCUCUCCUAUCUAACUUAUUUCUCCUAGCCACAAUUUAAAAAGCAGCAAUAUAUGAAAUCAAUAGUCCUAUAGAGCUUCCAUGCAGGUAAAGUUAUGAUAUAACUGUCAAUCUUCAAUGAAAUAAAAGAAGGAAAAGGCAAAUUCUGAAUCAAUCACAAACACUCCAUGAAGUGAACAAUUGAAGAAAAGACCCAAUAUACAAGUUAGUUAGGUUGCGGAAUGCGUAAUGCAAUUAGCCUGAUCAAGUAGCAUAGCAUACGAUCCGAUCUGUAGCACUUACGUGAUGAAGAUUUGUUUUCCUCCUGUACCAACGAACUGUUAUUGAGUUUCCACCUAGGUCUCCAGUAAAACCAACAUGUAGGGGCUGCACCGGAAAAUGGGAACCAGAAAAAAGUAUCACCUCAAAAGCACAAUUUUUUAGAAGAGAAAGUAUAUUUAACCAUGGGAUUGUAAUUUUUAUAAUAUACACAAUGAAUAAUAUCAUAACCAUUCCCACCAAUCCCGGUUUUGAAGUCUAACAUUCUUUUUUCUCAAUUUACCUACCCAUAUUAUAGUAAGUCACUGAUGAUAAUCAAGGAUUUGAAAAUCAUAAAUACUUCUUAAAUUAAACUAGGUAUUUAUUCAAUUGUUCAUUUGGUUUUGAAUAGGAACCAGGAAGAACAAACCUGAUGAACAUCUCCAACAAAAUGUGACAAGAACAUAAGUGCCUCUGUCAAGUUAUCUGUAAUUAAGGGAGGAAAGUAAUAAAUUUAAGGACCUAUCUUCAAAUAAAACAAGCAAAUUAAGAAUUUAAUUCGUAAAUGCUUACAUUUUAAUUCAGAUGAAGCAUCGGCGUUAGCUAAUUUUAAUUGCAUUGUAUAAUUGUAUAUUGCUCCAGUAACGCAUCUAUGCUUAUGUCCAUAAGAAUCAUGACAGUCUCCUAUAAGAAUUGCAAGAAACAUUGAAUUAAUUUGUGAAGUGCAUGGCCACAUUAAGAGAUCUAAGGCUUUAUUUGCCAAUUUUACCCUGGUUAUUUUUAAUAUAUUAGAUUAAUAUUUACUCUUUGAUCUAGUUUUACCAAACACUACAAAUUCAAUUCACUAGCUUAUCUGUUAUCAGGAACUUUUUAGCAAACAAAGACUAAAUAUGAAAUAAUGUUAUUGGAAAAAGAAUUGAAUUACUUACUGCAAUAUUGAUAGUUACAUUUGAAAUCUGGUGUAUCAAUAUAAUGUAAAGGACUACUCCAACGAUAAUGGUAAUUAUGGCGAAUCUCAUCAGGCCAAGAGCAAACUGAAGCAAGAUCAGCUUGAGCAGAAUCUGGAAGUAAUUGUUUGACUGCAAAUAGAGCAUCUUCACUAAGAUACUCCUAAAAUUAGGGUUUGAAUUUAGAAUCAAAUGAUGAAGUAGGUGAGGAGUAGUGUAGUGAAUAGGGGUUAGGGUUACCUGUGAAAUUUUACAAAUUGCAUAGUGACCAUCUUUUCCCCAAGCCAGAACAUUUGGCAACGCGAGUGAUAGCAGCAACGGAACUAAGAGCGUGAUCAUAUUGAGUGUGUUCCGAACCGUUCUAGAAAUUUUGUGGGAAAAUAUCCUAAAGUUUCAUUCUUCAAAUUUACAAAAUAUUGAUUGAUUGAUGCACUUAGUAGUUUCUUUUUUUAGGUAAAGUAUGUUCGGGGAUUUUGCGUAUAUCUAAUAUUUUGCAGUCUAAAUUUAUUGUUUUUAUGGUAAAGUGCACUUUUCCCCCUAACUUUCAAAAACUUGUAAUUUUGGUCCCCUAAGUAAAGAAAUUAUAAUUUUGGCCCCUUAAGAUUUAGCCCCAUUGCAACUUUAAUUCUUUUGGUCAAUUUUGACCAGUCAAUGCCUACGUGGCAUGUCACGUGUGUAAUUAAUGAAUUAAAAAAAUAAAAAAAGCAUAUUAUCAUUUUUUAAAUUAAAUAAAUGAAAAUGAAAUUAAAAAAUAAAAAAAAACAUAAAAAAAAUUAAAAUUAUAAGGAAAGGAAAAAUCGGACCUAGAAAAACUCAAAACUCUUGUUAAACCCAACAGGUAAUAGCACAUCAGUUCAUCCAACCCAGAAAAGGGCGACAUUUUUUCACUUUCUCCCUCAACCGCCGGUAGCAUGCGUUAGCAGAACAGAACAAACUGAACAGAGUAUCUGCAAGCAAAGCAAGAAUAAUGAAGAAAAGGAAACGAUUCUGAUUCCGAUUGAAAAGAAUGAAGAAGAUUGAUAUUCCGAAACCGUUAAGGGAUUAAUCUCACUUUUGGAGAGUCCCAAUAGAAAAGUUUUUAUCUCCGCUUGCAAUACACUCUUGGAUUUCUCUACCACCGCUUUCGCCCAACAACAAUUUCCCAGGAAAAUUGAUGCUGUUUGAGAUUCCCAAUUGAAGGGAUUGGGGUUUUGAUUCGGCAGCGUUGCGAUGACAUAAGGUUUGCUACAGAGAUGACAACAAAAGCUUUGAUGACGACGGCGAUAGAAACUCUUUGCACGACGGCGGCGACAGAGUAUGUGGAUGGUGCUAAAAAGUUGCACGACGGCGGCGAUUGAAGCAUCAAUUUCUUCUUCUCUUUUUUGUUACGAGGUUCAAUUGUUUGUGGUUUUUUUUUUUAUGGAUGGUGUUAAUAACUAGUUUAGUUUUAAACUGGUUUAAUUGUUUUUCAACCGGUUUUGAUAAUUUAGAUCCAAUCCAUUUCAUUGAUGCUGUUUGAGAUCCAAUCCAUUCCAUUUCAACCGGUUUUUCCUUUCCUUAUAAUUUUAAUUUUUUUCUGAUUUUUUUUUAUUUUUUUAAUUUCAUUUUCAUUUAUUUAAUUUAAAAAAUUAUAAUGUUUUUUUUAUUUUUUUUAAUUCAAUAAUUAUACACGUGGCGUGCCACAUAGGCAUUGACCGGUCAAAAUUGGCCAAAAGGAUUAAAGUUGCAAUGAGGCUAAAUCUUAGGGGGCCAAAAUUGUAGUUUAUGUACUUAGGGGGCUAAAAUUGCAAAUUUUUAAAAGUUAAGGGGGGGAAAGUGCACUUUAAACCUUGUUUUUACUCUUGAAUGAUUAAUUGAUCAACUUUUUUUUUUCCUAAUUUUCUUGGAUAAUCCUAUUUGAGAAAUGUGAACAAGAACUAAUUUGAUUGAAGUUGUUCAAUUUUAUAAACUAAUUUGUUAACGUGAUCAUCUUAUAAUUUUAAAUUGAAUAGUAAAAUUGGUAAUCGAAAUGGUAAAUGUUUGUAAAAAAAAAAGACCUCAAAUUCUAUGAAUUAGCAAAUGUAUCCUUGUUAUUGAAAUUGUAGUUCUUCACUCAAAAUAGUUUAUUUAUUAACUUCUUUGCUUAGAGGCCAUAAUGUAAUUUGUUAAAUAUAAACACACGUUUUCACGUGAAUCACACAUCAAUGUCACAUUGCAUGCUAUAUUGCGUAUAAAAUAUACAAGACAACUCGUUAGCAAGACCCUUAAUAUAUUUGGAAUAGAGAAAUGAUACCUACUUUUCUUUGUGAAUGUAUGGUUGUCCUAAAAGUUGUCACACAAAUGAUUGUUCAAAUAACACACCUCUUUGAAAAAUUACAAUCGAUUUUAUCGCGCAAUCUACAUGAAUAGUAAACCGUCCAAUUGACUAGGGAACUUAUGAGUUUGGUUCUUGAGUGAUUAUUUGAAGUAGAACAUGCAUGAGCAGCGAGGUUGAGUUUUUAGGCAGCAUGGAUUCACAAAGGGUUGUACGUGCAUGAGGCUUGUACGUGAUGGAGACCAACAAAAGUGGUUGCACAUAGUGGAUAUUAUCACAACUAAAACUUUUUUUGCAUUUUUGUGCCAAAUCACAAUUAGUAUAUUCCUUCGACAUCAAAACUAGCUCUUACAUGCAAAUUCCACUAUUCAAGGAGAUAACGUGUAUGACAAAUUUAUGAAGUGUUUUUAUACAAGAACUUGUUCUUAACCAUUAAAAAUAAUUGUGGGCUAACAUGUACAAACGUGAAAACUUCUAAAACUCAUUUUUAGUUUUGAAAGAAUUGUUACCAUUUGAGUUGUUAUUACACAUACAAACGCUCAUCAAAAGCAAGUACCUUGCUAGUAUUUUUGUUUAAUUUUCCUCAAAAAAAUCAAUCAGAAAACAAUGCUUCUUCAGCUUUGAAAAGUUACAUGCAUACAAUACAAUGCAAAUUACAAGGCAAAACUUUUUGCUAAUAUUCAUUGUGAUUGCCGGGAAGGAUAAAUGCAGUAAAUGUAAGCAAUGCUGCUCACCAUCUAUGUUGAAAAGAUUGAACAAACUCAACCAGCGCUCACAACCAUGAAGUUAAAACAACAAAUGUAAGCAAUGCUGCUCACCAUCCUGCUUCUAGGAUUAAGAUGCACUCUGCACACAAAAAACAUUACCUUUUCACAGUUAGGUCUUAUUGUUGUCGUCCUAUUACAUUAAGAAGCGAAGAACAAAUAACCAAACACAGUUAAUAAGACCUGUCUGUAACCUGUGUUUCAAAGGAUAAUGUGUUGAGGAUAAUAAACAGAAAGGUAACUAGAAAUCUACAUCAAGCAUUUCGUGCAAAAAGUUUGAUGACAAAAAAAGUAUAUAUAAUAGUAAAUUGAAAAGUUGAGCAGGAAGGAAGUAUAAGGUUCUGUUUAGAGGGAGUGAUUUUUGUCUUUAUUUCUUACAUUCAUUUUUAAUUACAUAAGUUUGUUUUCAUUUCACCUCCUGUUUCCAAUAGUUUGUAUAAAAAAUUGUGAAAUCAACUUUCCUAUUAUUUUCACGAUUUCCUAUACAAAAUAGAAAAUGCAGUGAAAACAGAAUGAUAUUUUAGGGAAAAUAUAACAUGUUUUCUCAAACUAAACCUUAAAAAAAAUAUAUACUUGCCAGUUGCUGAUUUGCUGCUACUUUAAUUCAACAAUUGAGCAUGAAACAAAGGAAUUUUCAAAGAAAAUUAAUAGAUUGAUUUUUUACAAAAAAAAAUAAUAAUACAUUGUGCAAUGAUAUUGCGACAAAUAAAUACUCAAUAGUCAUCGUAUUCAGAUAAUAAGUAAAAUCACCAAAGAUAGUUACAUUCACUACAUUCUCUAAAGCAAUCACGUAUCGAGUACUGGAUUAGAAUUAUAAGCACAAGGUGAUAACUUUCAAUGCAAAGGAAAAUAUGACCAGUGAGAUAUAAGUUAGGGCUUGCAAACCUCGUCAAUAGUUUUCCAUAAUUUUUCUGAAGAGUUCUUUUGGUGCUGCAAAUGCAAAACGAAUUCAAAGAAGCAAUAUAAGAUGUUAUAACUAUUCAAUCAAAUAAAUUACAAACCACGGAAACAAGGACAACGAAAUCAGGGCCAAAAAGUCCAUGGAACAUAGUCUAUUAAAUUUUUUACUGUCAGUUUACCUGGCAAUCCAGUAUAAUGCUCAUAUUGUCGAUAUGCUUGUCCAAUAAACAUCUCCAGUCCUGUUACAAUAGUAGCUCCAGAUUCUUCUGCUUCUUUCAACAGUCUAGUCAUUUUUGGCGUGUAGACAGCAUCAAAAACCAGAGAGUAAAAUUUCAAUGCAUGCUACAAAAAACAGAAGUGAUUAGUUCCCUGAAGGUCAACUUUCUCUCGUCCCUUAGUAAGAUAGUUUGUGCCUUAAUAAAAACAAUAUUUGACAGUAACAUCCAUCUACAAUAGAAACGCCACGGGCCAAACAUAAAUACGUGGUAGAAGUGCUUUUGUUUGGGUCACCGCUCCACUUCCACUUAAAGAAUGAGUAUUUUGAUGGCCAAGUUUUUGGCAUUUUGUUCAUGUAAAAUUCAACUAUACCAAAUAAAUACACAAUCAUGGAGAGCAUAAAUAUUUCAAACCAAAAGGUCUAAGUCACAAACAUGGCUUAAGGCCUUAAGCGGCAUUAAAAAUCAUAUACUAUAAUGAUUCCCAACCAAAAUUCUGUUAAGGAAAUCGGAAUAAACAUAUAAUUUAAUCUGUAAGCAUGACCACUAUAAAAUAUUUUUACAUAUGCAUCCAAUUGCAUCUCAUUUGUGAAGAUAUUCUAGGAACCAACCUAACAUGGUGGCAUCAUGAUGUGAUUUUAUUGGAACCAACAUAGCAUAUUGUGAUAUUAAUUUUUUUUCAAAACAAAUAAUUAUGUUUCAUUUGAAUAGAAAUCCAAUCUUCACUAGAAAAAUCAAGGUAGAUGUGAUGCUCAUUAACAUAUCAAACUCAAAAGUUCCAAUAACAUUAAUAGCACAAGGCCCUAUUUGGUUUAGUACAGCCAUAUAAGUAGCAUACCUUUGAAAUAGGUGUUUCAUCAACUUUUGGUUGCAUUCCGAUUGAAGUUGUGUUUGCUAGAAUCAUACCAUCCUCUGGAUGGUAAUUAUCUAAAUCAUUGAGGGUAAGAGCAUCUCCACCGAUUACAUCAGCAAGUUCUCUGGCACGAUCUAUAUAUAAACAAUACACAUAGUGCAUCAACAAAUAUGUUUGACAAGGGGAGAGAAAUCAAUUGCCAAAAUUGUUUGUUAGAAAAGCUAUAUGGUGAAUGCAACGCUGAUUGAAGCGGCAAGCAACACACAAUAUUGUGCAAAACUUGUGUAAAUAUUUUGAAUCCAUGUGACAAUGAACUGAAUAAACAAAUGUACUAACAUGAGUUUGGAAUACAAAAUAUUGUAAAUGCAGAAACCUUUUCUUAUUUAAGAGAGAAAUGUUAAUAAGCAAAAGGAUAGUAAUUAGUAAGGCAUACAGGGGAAAGCAUAAGAUGAAACAUGACAAUAAUAUCUACAGAAUGCAAGUUGAUAUCUAGAGACACGAGAAGAAAUAGAACCCAAGAAAGCAUCUCAUGAAGAUAACUACCAUCCAUUUAAUCAAUUAAAAGAAUUCAUCUUAUCAUCAGCUAUCUCCAAUAUAUGGUGUUUUGAAACAAGAUCCUGGAAUAGCCUUUUGCAAUUCAACUUUUUUUAACUCUAGGCGGGAAAAUACUUAUCAUGAAGCUUACCAUAGGUGCGGUUUGCAAUCACAAUCCUUGCUCCUUUCUCUUUUGCACCAUAAGCAAGUGCCUUCCCAGCACCACCGGCCCCAAUAACAACAAACAGCUUACCAUCUAAUGGUGAAACAGCUGUGCCACUAUCAUUAUGUUUACCUGCCAAGAAACAAUUGAUUUACACAACAACAUCUCAGGAGACGAGUUAUCUACAACAGUAAGUAUAAAUUUUCAGCCGCUAGAUACAACAACUACCUCGUAGCCCAUCCUCAAUAGCAGAAAUAGCACCAACAUAAUCUGUAUUAUAGCCAAUCAACUUCCCAUCUGUUGGUCUUCUUACAACGCAGUUUACAUCUCCUAUUGACUGCGUAACCAAUUCGAAGAAUUAUGAAAGAAAAUAAAAACUCUUCUCAAUACAGAUCCAACAUUAUUGAACAUACAUUGUAACAUAAUGUAAAUUAAUAACCAAAUACCUUAGCCACUGGAUCAACCUCGUCACAACACUUAAGGGCUGCCUCCUUGUGAGGAAUGGUAACGCUGAAAUACAUUAUUAAAGAUCAAACUCUAGUGGUGUGAGAGAUUUAACUAUAACACAAAACAAAAACGAUUGAACUGGAAUGAUGUACUAGAGAUCUGAACGAUGAAAAAGGAGAUAAUAUGCAACAAAUGAAAGAAAGGUAAGAGUUUAAAAGGAUAAUAGGAUGAUAUUCAUAAAAGCGGGAAGAAAAAAAUAGAGCUCCUUGGGCAUUUAAGCAAGGGUUUGAUUGUAUUAGAUCAAUCAAAUACAUGAUUACAUAACCGCUUAAUGUUUCUGUUACACCUUUAGGGCCCAGAUCCCUUGAUUUCAAAAGACUAUGAAUCUACAAAUGCUUCAUGAACUCUUAUCCUUGUAAUUGUUUUAGUUAAAAAUACACAAAAUAAAUUAUAGCGAUAUUAUAUAUAUAUAUAUAUAUAUAUAUAUAUAACUGUUAGGAGUUAGAACAGGGAGAAUAAGUUAGGAAGUUAGAAUAGGGAGAGUUAGUAAGUUAGUUGUUUAUUUGCUUGUUUUUCCUUUAAGUUAGUUGCUUGUGAUCCUUUGUCUGUUUCUUUAAGUUAGUUGCUUGUGAUCCUUUGUCUGUUUCUCUUGUAUAGGAAGUCUACAAAUAAAGACUUCCAUUCCCUUAGAAAUCAUCAAUGGCAUAUCUUUUUUUUUUUUAAAACUCGGAUCUUUGGCAUAUCUUAGUUUUGAAUUAUGAUUGGUCGGUGUAGGAGAGCUUUGCUCUCUUUUUAUUUCCUAUUUUUUAAUAAAAGUGUUUUUCCCUUGGACUCCAAUUCUUGGGUUCCCAACAAUAACUGAGUGCAUAAUAAAUGUAUUAUAAAACAUGUAUACCAACUACAGUCGAUGCCUAGCAGGAAAUAUUAAAGAUUCAAUAACCUUAAAAAGUUAUGUUUGUAAGCUAACAUGAAACAAGCCUUAGAAAUUGCAGAUUUCAAAUCAAACUAACCAUAAAAUUACUAGGAAAAAAAAGGCCUAGCAAGAUUAUAUAUUCUUUUGGAAUUACCUCGACAUCACUUCCUAUGUUUUGAAAUAUUGUGAAGUAGCAAGUAUCCUAAACACUUAUUAGACCAACAUUUCAAUAACCCAACCAACAAAUGGAUAUGCAGUAUAUUAUAGCUUACUUUCCACACAUACCUCAUUAGCAAACCCAAAUAAGAUUUGUAGCAUAGCAUGCAAUGAGAAUUUAGCAUGUAUUACCAUAAUACCAUUUAUCAUAACAUAACCAUACAACACAUGCAAGAAAUGCCAAAAAUUAGAAUACAUAAUUCAAACAAUCUUAAUAAGGAGUUCUAACCUGAAUCCCACAAAAUCUGUUGAUGAGUAAGUCCUUAAAAAAUUGGCAAGAUCAUCCACCAAUAAAAAUACAAAAACUCCAUCAAAACCAAUUGUCUUGAAGGCUUCAUUGAACAAUAUUGGGUGAUUUACUGUGACUGACAGGCUUUCCAACAAUCCCAUAUACUUUUGUAUCAGGUCCAAUUUGUCUGAAAUUGUAUAAAUGCAACAGAUCCUUAAGUGUAGGUUGACCUGGAGCUGAAACUACCCCUGACUCGAGCGUACCAAAAGUAAGAUACCCACCAAAUUUCGCACAAAGUAUACGUGAAAUUAAUCCCCUGUCGCCCAUAACAAGUCCAAUGAAUGGAACCUGAAAUUUCCAACAAUUGUUAUGUUAAAAUUAUUUUUUGUCACAAAACAACCUUAAUGCAGUAAUCGUAAAUUUAAGCAUUACCAGACAAAUAUAAUCGGCUAUUGUAAUGCUGUUUGAAAGGUCAUGUAUAUGAGACUUGAAAUUGGCAACAUAAUAUUUUAAGCAUUAAUAUAUGAGACAUUCAUACAAUCCAAACCUAUUGCAGAUUAUUAUUUAGCAUGUAACGGCGAAGUACAUCAUGAGUUCAUCCUAGCACCAUCAACAUAUUGCUUUAACUGGUACAGGCAAAAAGUUGAUUAAAAUUUGCAUUUGCUUGCAUUGGUCCCUUUAUCUUCGUCUAUACGCAUAUCAAUAACAAUUGUUUUGACCCUCUUCCUCAACUUAGUUGUCUAUCAAUCAGAAAGAAAUUAAGUUCCUAACCAACCUUGAAGUACUUUUACCAUUAUGAUCAUGCAAUAUUUUGAACACACAAAUGUAUAAGGUCCACAGCGCACCAUAACAUAUAAGGGAGAAUGUGUAUGCGAUCAACAUUUUAUUAAAAAUUUCCACUAUCAAACAUAUGUGUCUUACUUGAGAAUGCACCAUAAUUUGAAACAUCCGCGCCACAUCAGUGAUCUCAACGGCAGUCGUUGCAAUCUUUACUAUGUCUGCCCCAGUUGCCUGUAUUCUUGCAACAAGGUUGCCAAGAUCCUCAACUGACGGAGUUUGCUGAUAAUUGUGAGAUGAAACAAUGACCUUGGUUUUAUUGUAUGUCUUCCCACGUAUAGAGUCGUAGAACUGGUGAGCAACCUUUGGAGAUAUGGCAGGAACAGGAAAUGUUGCACUAAGUUUAGAAUUCAGACAUCAGAUAGCAAAUAAUAUGAAGACAGUAUCCAGCUUUAUCAAAUGACAGCUAAAACUUUUUAAACAGUGAUAAUUGUUAACUAUUGAGUCCGCAACCUUUAAUUUCUUGAUAAGUUAAAGGCAUUCAACCAGCAGACAAGUUCCUAAAGAAAUGCUCAAUGCUAAAUCAGAAAAUCCUACUAGCACGAUGCAGAGAUUGAAAUGUUACCAUAAAUCGUGAGAAAAUAACAAAAAGGCAUAUUUGGAUGUGUGUAUAUAUAUAUAUUUUAGUACAUCACGACUAUCAUAUCAACAGAACCAAGUAAGCUUAUAUAAAGGGUGAUGUUAAUAAACACUUAUAUUAAUAAUGAAGAUGUUAUUUGAUUGAAAAAUAAACAAACCUUAAGUUCAACGUCAAUGUAAUCAGCUUCCAAUUCCAUGGCUAACUGUAAUGCAUCCAAGCGUUGAUUUUCAUCACCAUCAUACAUACCACCUUCCCAUUUGGGCCUAAGAAAAUGUAAAAUAUUUUGAUCAUCAUUCAAUUCAAAUUAUCAUGUACUAUGUCACAUGACAUCAAUUAAUCAACAAAAAAAGCAUAAGUACAAGCAAAAUGAAACCUGUAAGUGAACAAGAACGGCAAAGAAUGGUGUUGCUGCAUGAAAGUGUUAAGAUCUUGAGAGGGGUUGAAAGUUUUCAAAGAAUCUAAUCGAAUUUCGACAAGGUCAGCUCCAUUAAGUUUAGCUUUUUGGAUAUCAGCUAUCAUUUUUUGGAUUGUUUCGCCCAUUAUAGGGACGCAGAUUAACAUUGCAUUCAUCCUCGUAACUUAACUAAAAAAUAAAAGAGACAAUUGGAUAUUAAUUAAGUUAAGAGAAUUGAAUUGAAUUGAAUUGAAUUGACGAUAUAAAGAAAAAUGAAAAUGAGUUAGUUAGUUACCGGUGGUAGGUGCUGGCUGCUUUGCACUGUCUGUGUUAUGAAUAUGAGAGUGCAGAGAAAUGAAAGAGUGGUUGGAUUGUGACUUGCUUUGUGAUGAUGGGGGUUGGUGAGUGGGACCAAAUUCAACGGAUGUGGAUUUACUUUCAUAUUAGUCAGGUGAUUUUGAGCCAUGCGAUGAAUCUAACUAACUAUUCAGAUUUUUUUUUCAUAAAAUAAUACGAGGAAAACUGAAAAAAAAACCUGAUCGAGAACCUCUUCCUCAGACUUCGCCCGAACUUGCUAUCGCUAGGAAUGGCGUCUACUGAACUCGCCGUGAAGGUGCGAGACUGAGUGAGAUCGGAAGCGAUGGGAGCGAAGAGUGUUUGUUUUCAUCAACAAAAAGUAAAUUGCUUACAUUUUUCAUCAAAAAAAAUUAAAAUUAAAAUUUUUCCACAAAAAUAAAUUAUACUCUCUCGUACCGAUUCACUUAAAUUGAUAAAAUACAUUGAUACAGUAUAGAUUUAAAAUCCUUCAAAAAAACAAUAAUGAAUCUACGAAGAAACUCACGACAUCCAUGAGUCUCCAACAUUGACGACGGCGUUAAUAUUAGUGAUUGAAUCUUCAUUUGUUCAAAGCUAACCUUUCAACCUAGCACUAGGACGGAAAAUAAAAAGAUACACCUAAUAACAAGCAAAGUCUACGUAGCCUUUUAUUUAGUGAAAUUAGUCUUGUAUUGUUUUAAGAAUGUUUAUUUGAGUUUUAGAAACUUUUUAUGCUUUCUAGUGUCGAUUUGAUGACAUGUCGUGUGAAGAUGUUCAAAGGUAUAACGUUUGGCAGCAUGCUAACGAUGUAAGAAGUUGUAGCGCUAGAAAUUAGUCUGUGGCUAUAGCGUUGAAGAUCUCUUAGUACGGGUCAUGCAUUUGUACGACCUUGGAUCCAUUAUUUGCAAGUCUUAAGGACCAAGUUUGCAUGAAUUGGCUCUAAAAAAUUAGUACAAGGAAGAAGGAAUAUGCUAAUUUAAAAGAGAUAAGACUAACAACUUGUAGAAGAAAGUAUUGAAGGACACAUCUUUACAAUGUAGGAAGUUACAUCGUUACGAUAUAUCAGACUUGGUUUUUAUGCACUAAAGUGGACCCAUAACAUCUUGUGCUUGGAGAUAAAGAUAAGAGAGUCUCGGAUAAUACACAAAAAGGAUAAGGUAUAUUCUUAUGCUUAAUGGUUAAGAAAAAGACCAUAACAUGAAAAAAUACCAUAAGAGCACUAAGGGAUAAGAAAUGAUUUGUAUUGUAAAAGGACAACGAGCUUUCAUUUUCAAGAUGUGCAAGUGGUGUUGUUGUGCUUAAUAGAAUAGAGAUUGGAGGCUACUGCCUCCAAUCAACCCUAACCACCGUCUUUGGAGAUUCAAAUCAUUCUUUUUCAUCGCAUACUUUCAUCCAUUUCAUCUUGAAGGCAUAGUAGUUAAAAUCUUAGAGUCUUAAAGUCAUUAUAGUAAAUUGUUAAGAAAGUGUUGCAAAGAACUCACAUUUAUCCUCGGAGGAUUGUAAUUUGUCUUACGUUAACUCUAAUCUUAUUUAAUGAUUUAGGCAAUUAUGUUUUUAUCUCUUAUCUUUUCCAUUUUUUAUUUGUGUUUAAGUUCAUUAUAAGGUAAUCACUUUUGUGGUUAUAGAAUGAUUAGGUAAUAAUUAUGUUUGCAAGUUUAGUUUGUUAUAACUUUUAAAGUUUCUUUCAAACAAACUGAUUUCACUCAAAAUAUUUGAAAGUAAAACUUGAUCUAUUUUGAUUUCAAUACUUUAGUUCCCUGAGACCGAGAGGGUGUGGGAAUGAAACAUGUUUGUUUAACAUGAGUUAGUCCAUAUGCAUCGAGAGGUGAAGGGAUCAACAUAGACUGAUUUGCACGAGUACUAUAUCUUGGAAGAGGCUUUAUGUGUUGUGAUCCAACUAGAACUCUUGUCAUGGGUCAAAGGCUUGGUAGAAUAGCAUUUUAGUGGGAAAUGUUGAUGAUCUAGCCUAGCAACGUUGCGUAUUAAGGUUAUGUGAUUGUACUCCAAACAAUAGUCUUCACGUACUUAACAGGAAGGUUGGGUGCGCAACACUCCGAGUGGCCACCAAGUUGGCAGGAAACUAUGCAAAGUUAUAGCUCUUUACAUCUUUCCUCAUGAAAUUUUACGACUCUAUAGCUUCCAUAUCAGAUUUGUAGCUUUCUAAAUCUUGCAGACCUCUAUAUUUACCAAUUUAAUUCCUUAACCACAUCUUUUCGCUUAAAUCUCCAAUUCCUUUUUACAUGCUCCAUUUACUUCUAUAUUUUACUACUUUAGUAUAAACUUUGUCUUUGUUAUUCGUCUUUUUGAAUCUCAAAUAAUUUAAACUUAGUAUUUGAAAAUACUUAAAACUUAUCUACGAUAAUCCCUGUGGGAUCGAUACUUUACUUACUCUUAAUUACAUGUUUUUUUAAAAGAAUACUUGCUCUUUAUUACAUGUUGUGACAGUGUAUGCUUGCACUUUGUAUGCAUUGGAGAAUAGAUAACUAUUUUCAUAGCAUCAACACCGCACAAAGACGAUAAAUCAAAACAAGAAGAGUCGUACAAAGACAACGAAAUCACAAAAACAAACGAAAUAAGAUUCAAAGUAUGUGAAAAUUACUUGUUCAACUAAAAAAGAAAAAUUUGGGAGAGAUAAUUUUAAGUCAAAGUUGACUCUAGAUAACCCGUCUUUAAUAGAUCAAAAAGAAAAAAAAACGGUGACAAACCAAGUUUGGGACGGAGGAGAACUUUUUUAUUUUGUUUUAAUUUUGACAUUUAAUUAAUAUUUUAAUAUAGUCUAUUUAAUCUUCAAAUUAUCACUCUUUCAUCAAUAUUUAAUACUAAAAAAAUAUUUAAUUAUAUCACCAUCCAUCAAUUUGGUCAUUCUCGAAAGACUAAAUUGAAGGUGGGAGGAUAGGUUAAAGACCUUUUAGUUUAUUUUAAUAGUUUAAAAAUCAAAUUUAUGAAAUAACGAUAAUUACGUAUUAAAAGUCAUCAUGAAUUUAACUUAGCUUAGUUGGAUUCAAAUUCCGCCUACCACAAAAAACGUAUUUAACAAUUUUCAUCCCGAUCCCUUAUUAAAAAAAAACAAUUUUCAUCUAGAUAAAUUCCACGUAUUGCAUGCUAUCACAUUUUGAAAUAAUGGUAACAAAAAAUAUUGUCAAAUUCCAAAAAAAAAAAUAUUGUCAAAUUAUCUUGUGUGAAUAAUGUGUCAAACAGAGUCAAUUAUAUUAGCAAUUUUUUUUAGAACAAUGAUAUUUAUACAAUCAUUUUAGAAUAUUUUUGUAGACAAAUUUUUUCAUACUCCAAUUAUGUUCUUGUUUUCUUUCUCUAUUAAUUUGAUUUUAGGUCAAUACUUAUUUCUUUGUGUAUCUUUAAGUAAUUUUAAGUUGUCCAAAAGUAAUUUUCAAAUAACAUACCUACAAAAUCUACAUCACAUGGACCAAAUGUUGAAGUGGGUGUUUUUGAAACUUGGGCUGUCCAUGCACCAGACUGUUUUAAGAUAUAGAAUUGCUCUUCUCCCAUCUGAUUUUGCUCAUCCCUGCUGAAAAAUACACCUGCGAGUUAACUCAUGUUGAGAAUACAUCUACGUGAGUUAACUCACGCUUGACUAUUUUGACAAAAAUGAACAAAAACAUAUGGGAAAAGAACUAUUUCCUUCAAGAUAAUGGAUUACACAUCCUAAUAGUCCGGAGCAGCAAACAUUCAUACAUUGAUAGUUGCCCGAUAAAGCUCCACAUUAAAGAUUAAUAUUUUAAAUUAUAAAACAAAAAAAUAAAAUAUGUUCUUUUGGAUUGAGUGAAUGCAUGUUUUCUUUGACGGCCGCUAAUGUGUAUCCAAAAGACGAAUAGUUUAGAAGAAUUUGAAUUCAACUUUCGAAUGAAACAACUACUUUAUUUACCUUGCGGUAGAACUCCUGAUUACCAGAUUUUUUUAAAGAAAAGUAAUUUAAUCACAUCAUUUAACACCAUUUAAUUAUUUUCUGUUUAAAAUUUAUAUAUCCAUGUGAGUGUGUCCAAACAUAUUUUAUUUGAUUAGUGACCAAUUAAAUAUUUCUUCUUGAAUCAAAUGAUUCGCAAUAUAAGAUGACCAAAAGGUAGACUUGCAAGAAAAAUAAAAGUUACUAUAAAAAUUAAUUGGUUCAAAAUAGUUAGGUCAGGUUAGGUUUGAGAAAACUCUUACUUUUUUAAAUAUAUAUUCACAAUUCAUAAUGAAAACAAAAAUUGGUGAGUUCAAUAGUAUUAGGUUCCAACAAAAAUGGAGAAUAGCCAUUGUUUAAUAGAGUUUUGUUUGAUAAUGUAUAACCUUUCCGAAUUUAGUCGGGAGAUAAAUAUAAUAUGACGAAAAAUUGUUUUACCUAAAAUUUAAAUUUUAACUCUCUUGAACAAUUCAUUUUUGGUGAAACUCAUUAACCAUCUGAAUUCAAUUGCUUGGUUAUAUAUGAGUAAAAUGAUCUAAUAUCAUACAUAAAUAUACUUUCCACUAUUUUUUUUUUAACAUCAAAUAUUAUUAAACAACCAGAUCCUUGCUUAAGACGAACAUAUACUAGUGAAUCUGAGAAUACAAACAAAAGACGCCAUAUAUAAGCGGAACACCCGAAAAUAAAUAUAUUUUUCACUAUUAAAUCAAUAAAUUGUGUCAUAUCUCUUUUUUUUUUGAGGGAUCAUAUCUCAAAUUUUUUUUUUUUUUUGGUCAAGUAGCCUAGUGGCUAGAGCUCACACAAUUUAAUUGUGGAGAGUGGAGUGUCCGGGGUUCGAACCCCGGCUCCUGCAUAUAAAAUGCGAUAUCCCUACUAAUUAAACUAAGCUCACGGGGAUGAUCAUAUCUCAAAUUUAAUCGCAAGUUUUAUGGAUUGAAUAACAAAAGUUAAUUUAACAUAAUAUAGAAUUUAUCAGAUUUCUUUUAUGAAGCAAAAAUAUAUACCACUUAUCCACUAUAACGCUGGUUUUAAUUGAAAAUUAAAAGAAAAUUGGUUUUAAUAGAAAAAGAACGUGAAUGAUGAUGAUUAAGAAUAUUGACCCAUUCAUAUCUAAGAUGUAUUUUUUUAUUAAGAGAUCAAAUGAUAAGAGUUAUUAGAAACUCACACGCAUAAAUGAGUCAAGUUUAAAUUUAAUUCUGACUUUUGGUUUAAAGAUUUUGACAUUUUUAUCUCGAGUUAAAAAUUUUAGACUAUUUGUCAAUUAAUUUUUGACUGGUGCUAGUCACACCCUAAAAAAAAUAAGUUACACCCUAGAAUGACUAAUAUACCCCUAAGUUGAACAUAAGUAAACUAAAUUUACAUUAACCUAAAUUGAACAUAAGUAAACUUAAUUUACAUCGAACAUAAGUAAACUAAAUUUACAUUAGCCUAAAUUGAAUAAGUAAACUGAAUUUACAUUAACUGAACAUAAGUAAACUUAAUUUACAUUAACCUAGAUUGAGUAAACUGAAUUUACAAUAACCUUUUAUAUCUAGAUUGAACGUAAGUAAACUAAAUUUACAUUAACCUAGAUUGAACAUAAGUAAACUAAAUUUACAUUAACCUAAAUUGAACAUAAGUAAACUUAAUUUACAUUGACAUGAGUAAACUAAAUUUACAUUAACCUAAAUUGAACAUAAGUAAACUGAAUUUACAUUAACCUAGAUUGAACAUAAGUAAACUGAAUUUACAUUAACCUAGAUUGAAUAAGUAAACUUAAUUUGCAUUAACCUAGAUUGAGUAAACUGAGUUUACACUAACCUCUUAUAUACAUGUAAACUGAAUUUACACUAACCUAGAUUGAACGUAAAGUAAACUAAAUUUACAUUAACCUAGAUUGAACAUAAUAAGUAAACUUAAUUUACAUUGACAUAAAUAAACUAAAUUUACAUUAACCUAAAUUGAACAUAAGUAAACUUAAUUUACACUAACCUAAAUUGAACAUAUCUCAUACCAAAACAAACAAUAAACAAAUAUAAACUCAUUGAAAAUGAAAUUCAUGAAAUUCACUAACCUUUAUGAAUAUAGUACAGAUCAAUAACAAAGAUGUUGAUUCAGAUAUUUGUUGCGUGAUUUGUGGAUGAAAGGGGGUAAGGGUUCAGAAUGAUCAUAAAAGAUGGAUUUUUAAAAAUUUACAUAAAGAGGACAAUUUUGGUAUUAUUGUAAAAUUUUAAAUAAAUUUGGGUGUAACAAGUUUUUUUUGGGGUGUGACUAGCACCAGUCUUAAUUUUUUAAUGUAAAUUGGAUAUCGUCAACGCGUGUAAUUGAGAAAAUUAAUACCUCGAGUUGGACCUAAAUGAACGACAAACUUUUUCUUCAAAAUUCCAAAGUUGUUGCAUUCUGAAAACAAAUUCUAAACCAAAAUUUUGGUUAACUUAGAAAAGACCUAUUUCAUCUCAACUAAACCAUUUUGCAGACAAUCCGUUAGUUGAUUUAAUCAAGGAGAAACAGCAUUGAGAUGCGUUUGGUUGGUUACUUAUUUGGUUUUCAAUUUUCAACUGCUACACGUCGAUGCCGUAAGCAGUGCAUCAAAAUAAUAAUACGUGGGAACCCACACGCAACCUCUCUCAUUAUCUUUCCCGUGCACCGUACCGCAGUAGAUUACUCUAUAUACCCCAUAAGAAACCAAACUCACUCUCACAACUCUCACCGUUCGAUAAACGCUUUUCGGUUCUUGUAAGCUCUCUCCUUCCCUCUCUCUAUUUUUUUUCUCUAAUUCCGUUUAAUUUUUUCAUUAAUCACGAUUAUUAUUCCAUGUUUUCUCUUAAUUAUUAUUUUUGUAGCUCAUGAUUUCGUUGAAUUUCUAUUUCCUCUGAUUUAGGAUAUGGAUUUUAAUAUUUCAUGUUUAUUUGUUUGUCAUGUUGAUUCGUUUGUUUUAUUCCCCUUCCGAAGCUGUUUGGUUGCUGACAAAUUUGUAGGAAAUUUCAGAAACCCUAAAAUUUAAUGUUUUUUUUUUUUGUUUCAGAAAUUUGGAACAUGUUUUUGUCUUUGUUUUUUUUAAUUUGAAAUGUAAAUCACUAAAUUGUAGAAAUAAGGAGUGCAUAACCUAAGCUUAGUUGACUUUUUUGAGUUGCUUAUUGUUUAUCUGAUAGAAAGUUAAGAUUUUUCGUAAUUUUUCUUAGGUUGGUGUCUUUAUAUUUUGUGUUAUAAUUUUGAAACUGUAGAUUCAUUGGUUUACUGUACUGUUUCUAUUUUGGUUUUUUUAAUGCAACAAAGCAAAACAAUGAUGUUAGUUCUUAGAUCUCACCUUAUGGUUUUGUGAUCUUAGCCGUGGUUAAGUUGCUAAUUGUUGUGUGUGGUGUCAUAUGUUAUGUUUUGUUUCAGUGAAGAAGGACCCUUCUCUUUGCGCGUGUCCCGUUCUCUUCUCCAAUCCCCAACUCCACCAUUACGUAGACAUCUGUGAAAUCUGAAUAAAAUAAAUAAUAUGACGGAGGUUAAGCUCUGGAAUGACAAGCGCGAGAGAGAAAUGUAUGACAACUUUGCUGAGCUUUAUGCAAUUAUCAAGGCUACUGAGAGACUUGAGAAAGCUUAUGUUAGAGAUAUAAUAUCACCAAAGGAAUAUGAGAUAGAGUGCCAGAAGCUAAUUGCUCAUUUCAAAACCCUAGCGUCCACCCUUAAGGACACUGUACCUAGCAUUGACAGAUUUGCUGAUACCUAUAGGAUGGAGUGCCCAGCUGCGAUUAACCGUCUUGUGGUAUCUGGUGUGCCUGCUACAGUGGAGCACCGGGCUACUGCAGCAGCCGGUGUGUCCACCUCGGCUGCCACUGUGGCUGAGUGUGUUCAGAAUUUUAUUACAUCGAUGGAUUCCUUGAAACUUAACAUGGUGGCUGUAGAUCAGGUGCAUCCUUUGCUCUCAGAUCUUUAUGGUUCACUGAAUAAAUUGACGAUUUUGCCGCCAGAUUUCGAGGGGAAAAUAAAAAUGAAGGAUUGGAUUGGAAGGUUAUCAAAGAUGGGUGCAGCUGAUGAAUUGACAGAACAACAGGCCAGGCAGCUUCACUUUGAUCUCGAGUCUUCUUACAAUUCCUUUAUGGCAGCUCUGCCCAAUGCUGGCACUUGACUCAGUGGCUUGUAAAUUGAAUCAUAAAUUCCUUUUUCUAUAUUUUUUCCUUUUGGUUGCUAUUAUUGUUGAUUGGAAGAGGAUUUUCUAUUUUGUGACAGCAUUUAUAUAUAUAUUUUAAAGGCCAAAUGCUGGAUAUUUAGAAAUUAUGGCUAUGCUGAUCACUGAAAGUUUAAUUCUAUAUUGUGGAUGAGCUAUGGGCUUUUGUUUUCUUUUCUGCAGUUGUUCGGUUUGAGUUGCUCUGUACUCCUAUAUAGCAAGGGUGAAAUCUUGCUGAAAAUUGAGUUUACAGUUGUUUGUCUUUAUAUCUUUUAUAUUAAUAGAUACUGUAUAUAUAAAUAGACGUAUUUCAACUCUACUCCACAUUGAUACUAUCAUAGAGGACCUGUGUGUGCAUCAAAGCCUCUAAAUUUUAAUUAUGCAGUGAUUGUCCUAAUUUUUUUGUUUUUAGUUGAGAAAAUAGAAUCGAAGUAUGUGCAUGGCGGAUUACUAAUAAUCCCUCCGCAUCAUACUCUGACAUUAAUGUUACCCUAAGAUAACUUCUCUGUUAUACUGGUGCUAGGAUGUUCUACAUGCUAGAUCAGUUAAUAAUACAGGACAUUUUGAUGUUAUGAAUAUCCAAAAUCCGAAGGUCUUCUGCUGUCAAUUGUUAUGCUUAACAAAUUAUUAGCAGGUCUUUUAUGCCUGUACUUUGAUUAUCUUAAUCAAUUAAAAGCACAGAAUGUUGACUACUUCUCUUCUCUUUCCCCUGGUGAUUCAAAUUUCUAGUUGCUAACUGGUUAGGGUCAUUCCUUUAUUGGAACAUGUUUCCAUGACUAUGAGAGUGAUGCUUGAGAUUAGGGUUUCUGCUGCAAACCACUCCUUUUACAGGAUGAUCUCAUUGAUGCUUGAGCCCAGGGGGUUACUGAUGUAUAGAAAUGGCGCUGAUAUAAAUCGUAAUUAUUAUCUAAAUAAUUUUGAAUCCCUGAUUAGUUUAUGAAAUGUAAAUUGGUAUGCUUCAUAUCCAUUUAUGAUGUUCAAAGAUUUGAGAAAUAUGUUGGAUCGUUUGUUCAUGAUUCUACCAAUAAUAUUGAUUCAUGGAUAAAGCAUAUGUAAAAUGGAUGAGUCCUAUGGAGCACAUACACUCAUUGGAUUAGACGUGUCUUGGUGUCGGACACGCGACACGACACUGAUACAUAUAAUUACAUUGAAUUAUAUGAUUUUAUCAAAUUAUUAGCAGUGGCGGCGUGUCCGUAUCCAAUGUCCAUUGACAGAAGAUGUAAACUGAACUAACAUUAAAAAUACAUUUUCUGUUUGUGACUGACAUAGCCUUUGUCUUUUCAUUUAGAAACUGAUGUCCAAAGCAGUUUUUGCAGAUGCAGUGGUAGCUGUAAAACGAGCAAUUUUGUUUUCGUGUUUUGCUACUGCGUGGGCUAGUAUAUCUAAAUAAAGAGAAUACUGUGUAAUGCAGCUUAUGUCAUUAAAGUUCAUGUACCAGAACAGUGACGUAAAGGACCAUCCAAAAAACCAGAAAACAAGUCAGGCUAUACCGAAUUCUGAAUGAACAAGAGACUAGAAUUCAAGAGAAAGCAGGUUUACUUAUUAUGUGGUUUGAUGUUCCAUGCCUGUGGCACAACAGAUAUGAAUUUAGCUGCAAUAAAUAGAAAUGCAUUCAUUGCAUAACGUAUAUAGACUUGAUGAGAAGUCUCACAAAACAAGCAUUGGUCGAAUAUGCAGUGGUCCCCACAGGUUUGCAUUUAUUACAUCUGUUGGGUCAUAGGGACCCUUCUGCAUUUUGGUUUGGAAAAUGUUAACAAGUUUUGGUUUUUCAUGCUUUAUCACUUGCAGACAAGUAUUAAUUAAUCUUUGUUAAUCUGAAAUAUAUUUGAAGUUUAAUUAUGGAGUACACUAACGAUGUAAAAUAAUCUUUUACCAUCAUGUAAGUAUAUUAUAGCUGUUUUUUUAAAAAUAAUUACAUAUACUUAAUUUUUUUAUCAGUAGUUUACAUCGAGUUUUUAUCGAUAGUUUACAUCGAGAAUGAUUAUAGCUGUUUUUUUUUUUUUUUUUAUACAUGUGAACUAGAAAUCGAAUUCUGAACCACUUAUUUAAUGAAGUUAAGUCGUUUAUACCAAGAAGUGAGAGUUUAUAAAAAAAAAAAAAAGAAAGCUAAUUAGGGGUUCCUGUCUGCAAUUUGACUCAACAAAGUGAAUAAAUCAUAAAGUGUGAGUUUAUCUCAAAGAAAAUCGUUAAGUGAGAAUUAAUGAUUGCUAGUUCAAUACUUUCAUAAUUUUUAUGAUAUGCUUGCAAUAUCUAUCAAUUUGUUAAUCAAUGAUCCAUAGGUCAGAGGGCAUGGAUUACUCUUUACUUAAUAAAAUCUAAAACGGAUUUGAUUUAGGAGUAGCAAAACAAGCCCCAUACAUGGAAGUUCCAGGUUUGAGCUUUGCCUUUUUUUUUCUUUCUCUCAACUGAGACAUUCAUUAAUAGGUUUGAAAAACUAUGUGUUAAAUUGACGGGGGUAACUCAACUUGUUUGCGUUGAGAGAUAAGAAGUUAGAGAUCUCGGAUUCACUAACAUUUACUAUUAAAUAAAAGAAACAAUGCACAUACAAACCGAAUACAAAGGGAUUGACUCAAAUUUUAGACCCUCCCUAGAUGAAAGACUAAAAAUCCCAAGAGAGGCUUUGGAAACCAAGAAGUAGUGUACCAUCCGAGGAAAAAACAAGCCAAAAGAGCAAUUGACACAAAAUAAUAAAACCUGAAAAGUACACAAACAAGCCAAAAGAGCUCCGCCUUUAACAGCAUCGUUUUCUAACCCUAAACAUGUUGGUCCUUAACCCUGUAGACACCAACACAUCUAACCUUUUGAUUUCAUGGGCCGACCUACGUAGGUUUACAAUUAAGGAAAUUGCCCUUUAGGCACCUAGUAAGUGCCGAACCGUAACUAACUACCUUCUUAAAAAAAUUACCGUUUGGUACACUUUUUCGAUAUGUGCCUAUAAGCAUCAUCAAAUGCUUUAAGAGCAAUCUUCUACAAUUAAAUGGACUCCUACAAAUGAUGCACAAACUAUGUAGGCCGGUUUGCAGACCAUCAUCCGCACAUCUACCCAACAACUAUGCAUCCAUACUCGUAGUGGUCAAUGGUUGAAUGAUAGUAAAAGAUAGAUUCUCCACGUUUGAUAGAAAAAAAUGGUUGUAAAGAGAGAUGGGUAGAAAAUUAUCAAAGAUGGAUAAGUAAAAGGUAACUUAUAUAUUCAUUGAAAAUUAGAGUAACUUUCAAGAACAUGUUGUGUUUAUAUAACCAACCUUCAAGAACAUGGAAAUCAAAAACCUAAAUCAGAAUAACUUUUUAUUUUGUGCAUCCUUUGGUUCAAGAAGGUCACAUGUUUAAAUAUGAAAUGCCUGAGUAUGAAGUAAGUUCUCAAGUCUCAACCCAACUUGACAUUGUUUACUUGUCCUAGGCAUAAACAUGCUCGUCUUAGAAUGCAAAAUCUAGCCACAAGUAGAGGACAUAAUGCUCUCAAAAUAGGUUUUGAAUUGCAACAUCUCGAUCUUUAUAUUUGUAGAAAGAAUAAACCAUCAAUUUGGUUCUUAAACUAUGAUUUUCUCUCCAAUUUAAUCUCUAAACAAUAGAAAUAUAAUAAUAAUAGUUCCUAUUUUUUUUUAAUCCAUCAAGAUAAUCUUUGAGCUAUCAUUAUCUCUUUCAUAUUUUUAAAAGAACCGAAAAACUAACUUGAUGAUUAACAGUGCAUGUUAAUUCAAUACAACCACAAUUGCGAAAAUCAUGGGAUUAUACAAACCAUCAAGACCUAUAAAGAAUCCACAUCCUUCAUUGGGUUGCAACAUCAAAGGUUUUAUGUCUAAGCUACCACAACACAAUAAUCGUUGAAGUCACAUCAGUCGCAUUUAAUUGCGAUUCUCUAUCAUAUCAAAGAUUACAACAUGAGUGCAAUUUAAAACCUUGCCUACAAUUGUGGUUGUCAACUAAAAAUCUUCUCAAUAGUCUUCUUUUGUGUCUCAUCCCUUCAUUUUAACAAAUGAGGCAAAAGUGAUGUCAAGAGAGGAAACAAAAGCACAACAACUAGAACAAUACCAAGAAUUAUGGCAUAACAUGUCCAUUUCCUAGAAUUCUUUUGUUGCACUCUAGCUUCCUGAAGUUGUUCUGUCCCUCUUCUUACAAAAGAACUUGCAUGUGCAACAUGGCUCUCAAUAUUAUUAAGUUGUUGUCCUUGAGACUCUACCAAAGUUGCCAUAUCCAAAAACACUUGAUGCAACUCAAUCAAAUUCUUCUCAAUUUCCUUAACAGCAUCAUGUCUUUCUUGAAUUUCCGAAAUAGUAUCCAUUAUUUGACCCCUACCUUGUUCUUGAAUUGCCCUUUGCAUGAAAUUUUCACUUUCUCCACUUGAUAUCAAAUUUUCUAUAGUUUCUUCAUCCGCUUUCUCUCCCGUUAUUGUAAAAUACCUCCGUUCCACCGUUUCCUUAUACUCAAGUUGCAUUCUUGCUCUCAAACCUUGAAAAUCAUCCAUCAUAUCUUUAAGUUUCUUCCCUAAACCACUAACCACUGAAGUUCUAGUUCUAUCUGCUGAUGAACCUGGACCACACCCUGGAAUGUUUCUAUUAGCUGCAUUUGAACGAUCCAAUGCUUCGAGUUUUCCUUUAAUAAUUUUGACACGUUUAAGGACUUGUUCAACAUCUUUGUCCAUUCGUGCUCGAAGUUCUUUCAUGGUUUUAGCAUUGUGCACGGUUUUACUUUCUUCAUUAGCCUCUUUCAAUUUCCUAUACAAUUGUUCAAUUGUUUUCAUGUCCUCUUUUAUAUUCUCAACAUCUUCGAAGAAUUUAUCGAGAUUAACAGUUUCUCGAUUCCCUGCCUCGACAUCAUCAAGGUAAGCUUGUUCCUUCAAAUCGGUGUACUUUUUGAAGGAAUUUGAAAACAAGUCGUUCAUUUUUGCGGAUUUAUUAACAAUGACUAACACCCUUCUUGUAAUAAAUCUUGGUUUAUUUUGUACUUGGUAAAUCUAGCAACAGAAAUCUCAUGAGAUCAUGAUAUGAUUGUUAUCUAACAUAAUGGUAAAUACUUUGAACAAAAAAAAAUAAUAAAUCAUGGUACAUGCUUCUUCAUGUGACAAAAAUCUUGAGGUAGAAGCUAGAAGGUGACGAAAAACAAGUAAUUCUCACCAAGGAAAGGUAAUAAUAGAAGUCAAUGGUAACUAUGAAACAAGGAUCAGCUAAAUUAACUUGAUGCUAAUUAUCAAACAAGGGUGUUAGAUCUCUUAGAUACGCCAAAGAUUACUCGCAUAAUAGCAAAUGGCACUAUUGAUUCUAAAUGGUACCUUUAAUUGGAUUUGGUUUAUGACUUGGUCAUCUUUUUUUUUUUUUUUCUUUCUAUCCUCUGGCUCUCACAUUCUUGCUCCUAUUAUUUUUAGCAUAAACUAAAAACUUCCUCCUUCAUCCGAGCGUGUAUUUGAUUUAAAUAAUAUUCUAAAGAUGCUUGUUCGCAUUUUUUUCUUGAUAUAUUUAUUAAAAAUGAUGACAACUAAACACUUGUUUUUUUUUUUUUAAUAAAUUAUCGCACUUUCAAAAAAGUUCAAGAUUUUUCUCCAAGUUACAAAAUAAAAUUUUAUUUUUAAUCCAAAAAAAGGAAAAUUGUGUUCAAAUCUUAAAUGCAUUUUUUGUUUCAAUUUAUGUUUUCCCUGACCAUCAAUUAAGUUAGAAGGAUUUUUAUGUUUUCCCCCAUGGGCUUGAUAGUAUAAAAAGCCAAAUCAUAGCUAAUAAACCAUUAAUAAAUUAUAGCAUAUUUCAAAAAAGUGUUUACUUUACCGCUUAAAAUUAAGGUGGUAAAUAAAAAAGUGUUUUUUUUUUUUUUUUUUAAGAAAUAAAAAAGUGUUUAUGACACAAUAUAGUAACUUACACAUAUUUUCUCUUUCUUGCUUCCGAAUUCAAAUUUAAUUUUACGGAUAAAUGUUUGAUGAUCAUUAUAAAUCAAUGAAAACGGAGAAACAAAGCUCCCUCUUUUGAUUUUGAGUUGAGGCGAGGAUAACUGCAUGCAGAAUCGAACCUAAACAUAAAUCAAAUAAUCGAUCAAUUCUUUGUUAUGUCUAGGCAUUGGUUAAUCCCUGCUUUUUGUUCUUUGUUUUGGACUAUGUAACAUUUUGUAUCUUGUAGCAGAAUUCUAGGCACAUCUUGUGCUUGGAAUAUGCUACGUUGUGUUAAUAUAAUUCCAUUUUGAUGUAUUCAAAAAAAAAAAUCGAUAAAUUUUGUUUAAUAACAAGAAAUAAUAAUAUAAUUAUAAAUCCUAGUUUUUUUUGUGACAUAGUCCGGUGAAUAGAAUUUAUUUUGUAAAGUGAAUAAAAGAGGUAUUCAAAGUUCGAACCCAGACCACUGUGUAUAACAAUACAUUAUCUCAAUUGAGUUAUACUCACAUAGAUCUAUAAGUCUAACAUUUGUUUACUCGAAAAAUAAAAAUAAACCAAAGUUUGUUGAAAAAAGAAUAAUGAUGAAAAUAUUUUAUGAUUUAAAAACCGAAUUGUUGUAAUAAAAAAACAUAAAUGAUUAACGUGUUAAAUUUAUUUAUUUAUAACAAAAUAUAGGAGGGUUUUUGUACACGGCUGAGUCUGAGUCUGAGUGUGUUCGUUCCAUCGUUGGUUGUGGUUGAUUGCGGCUGAACCCUUGAAACCAUGGACGAAGAAGCAGCAAUAUCAGAGCGCAAAACUGGUCACGUUAAGAAGAGAGCUUUAAAGAACAAAGCUUUGGCCAUUUCUUUCGACGAGAAAGAUCUCAAAGAUUAUGUCACUGGCUUUCACAAACGCAAGAAGAAGAGAAGAAAAGAAGCCAACAAACAACAAGAAGAAGCUUUAAGACGCAAACGCAAUGAGGAACGCAUAAAGGUACCUACCCUUUUCUUAAAGAUUCAAUUUUUUUUUUUUUAUAGCUUAUUUGUUCAUGUAUUUUAUUGCAGAGGAAAUUGGAAAGAGAACUUGCUUAUGGGGGUGUGCCACCAACUGAUGACACUGAAACUGGUGAAAUUGAUGACAACCAAGAAGAAGAAACUGACAAACAAGUUGAAUCUGUUGCUGGUAAUCUCCUUUUAUUGAUAUAGUCAUGUUUGUAUAAAUUGCUUAAUUAAGUGCUUAUAGCAUAUACAUUUAUCAUGUAAGUUCUUAGUUAUUUAUGUAUAAGCUAUUUCUAUAACAUAAGUUAAAAUAAAGUCAAAUUUGUUUUAUAUAAGCUAGAAGCUGUUUUCAUAAGCUAUCCUGGAGAGUUUAUACAAUAAGCUAAAAAUAUCUUAUCAACAUGAUAUAAGCUGUUUUAAUAAAUUCUCCUAAUCAGUCUCACAAUUGUUUAUGCCAAUAGGUAAGCUCAUAUUGGUCAAUCUAAACCAAUCCUUAGAUGUGUGUGUCUGAUGAUGAAUCAAACCCUUAAUUUGUCAAUUUGUUUCAUUGCUCUUUGCAUGUGUGUUUCCAUGCUUAGUGUUAGUUGUAAAAGGCAAUGCAUGAGAAUAUUAUUAAGUUCCUUCUUCAGACUGGCAUGCAUUUAUACAGCAUCCUUGAUCAGUCCUUAUGUCUUGUGCACGAGUUAGCUUAAUGUUUUACUUGAUGUUUUACUAGGACUGAGGUAGCUUAAUUCAAAAAUGUUUGACCUAUUAUGCUUUGUUUGCGAGUUUGGAGGGGAAGGGAGGGGAGGUUUUGGAAAGAGGAAGGAGCAAGUGGAAGAAAUAGAGUACAUUGUGAGGGGAGGGCUUUGGGGGUUUAAUUUUUCUUCAUAAUACAAAACCCUCCUCAUUUGGGGGAACUAAAAAGUUGUAUUGGAGGAGCGUUUUGGGGGGUUUAUAUAAAUUCUUCAAAUUUAUUCUGUUAUAAUAUUCUUAAUAUUAAAAAUAUAUGAAUCAUAAGCAUUACUUUAUCAUUCUCUAAAAAGAAUGCAAAAGAUUUCUCCAUUUCCCUCUAUAUUUUCCACCCCCCAAAGCCUUUCCUACCCCUCCCCUCCAAACUCCCAAACAAAGCCUUAGUUGUCGGUAGUUGUCUGUAGCACUAGCGUUGGAACCUAGUGGAGGUGAGUGUGGCCUCCCCCAGAUGCGUUGGAACGUGGGAGUAGCGCCCUUCGCGGCCGCCAUCACUCCAUGCUAUUGGGAGUCGGCUUUUCCGCUCUGCUAUCCGGGAUUGACCGCUAUGCCGUACAUGUAGUGUAGAGGGCUAUUUGGUUUAAUUUUUCUAGAUGAUGUGUGAUUUUUCUUACUGUAUUUGGUGUAUGACUCAUUUGAUGAUUGAAUUUUUUUUUCUUCUUGUUGAAAGCAACAAAGACAUAUGAAAAUGAUGAUUUGAAAGUCACUGUUGUAACAAAAGAGAUCAACCCUGACGAAGAGAGUUUCCCUAGCGAAAGGAAAGAAGCCCCACCAGCAGUGUCCUCCCAUCCUGUUGUAGUUGAUAAAAAGAAAUCUGUUCCUAUAAAUAACAAGAAGCCAUUUAAAAAGGUUGCAUCAAAGCACAAGUCACAGCCAAAGCAAAGAAGUAAGAGAGAAAAAAGGAAAGGAAAGAAGCCAGGAAACAAGUGACGGUACCUUGACAUGUUGCUUCUUCAGAACAUUCCCAAAUCUGCAACAAACUUUAUUUUUUGUGGAGGUACUUAUAAGUUCAGUAACUUAGCUACUAACUUAUUGCAGAGUUUGGGCUAUUUUUAUUGUUCAUUAAAUAUACGCCAGUAGGUUACCGAUUUACUUAUGUGGAUUGGAUGGCAGGUUUCUCUUCUGCUGGAGUCUCAUUGUCUUCCCUUGUUCAGCUGAUCCAUUUGGGGGGAUUUCAGAAUCAAGAAGAAACAGUUUUUUUUGUUGGUUUUUUAAUUAAUUAGUAAUUAUACUAUGUUGUAUACAUUUAAUACAUCCAGAUGUUUGAUUUUACAAUUAUGCAUUUUUCUUCAGUUUAAAAUUUAGUCAAGCUGGUUCACUUUUUAAUCUUCAUGUUUUGAGCGCUAUGAUUCACCUUUAUAUGUGAUCUUCUAAUGAAUCAGAUCCUUAAUUCUGUGUGAAUGGUUAAACCAAACUCUCAGGAGAAUUCUUUGGUGAGUUUCUUGACUUAAGUAGUCCAUGUACUCAGGCAAGAGUAAGUUGCAGCUGGUUUCAAGACCAGACCUAUUUUUAGUCGUUUUUCUAUAAGAAAAAUGUGCUAUACUGGCAACUACAUUCAUCCCUAUAAUUGUGAUUGAAAGGAAAUAUAAGCUGUUUAACAUAAUCUGUUUGCUCAAGUAUGCUGUAUGGAUUAAUACAAGAGCAGAGUCAUUGACUGUUGACUGUUGUAUAAGUUUGAUAAUCCGUUUGCCACCUAGAUUGGUCAAAGAGAUACCAGAAUCAGAAUUGUUUUAAAAUAACUUUUCCAAUUUCUAUUGUCAAUGCUAAAGAAAAAUAAUGCUGAGACAUUUAUUUAGUUUAAUUAUUGUAUGAACUAUAUUUCAUUUUACUGUCUCAAUUUUUAGGAAUUAAAAGUUGUACUUAUUUUUGUACAAAAAAAAAAGUUGUACUUAUUUAUUUUUUCCUUGAUCAGAUUGACCUCUCUUCAUUCUAAUAAAUAAAAAUUAGAUUGUAGCACAAUCUCUCACUCACGUAGUUAACCUGUGUGGGGUAUAUAAUUUUUAGAUUAACUAGCCAAUUCUGUUAUAAAAAAAUUAACUUGCCAAUUCUAUCUCAUUACACUUCAUCCCAUCCCAUACUACAUUAAUAACAUGCACUUUGCAAAGCCAAAAAAAAAAAAAAAAAAAAAAAACAGAUUAACAUGCACUUUACCUAAAAACACAUGCACUUUAAUAUUCUUUCUUUUUGCUUUAACAACUAGUAAAACCUAUCGACUGAAGAAAAGAAAAUAAAUGAAACUCAGAAACUGUAAGAAAGUAAAGAGAAGAAACAAAUCAAAUGUUAUUAUUCCAUGUAGUUUUUUCCAUUUGGGUACAAUACAAGUACAAAUAUGUAGUCUGCCACUAGUUACAAAAGAACAUUAUAAGAGGAACGGACAAUUGUACAGUAAUCUAAACUAGAAAAAAUUCAAUCACAACUAAGCUAUAAGCUAAAGCAAUUGCAACGUAAACUAAAUGAAACUUCCGAAACUUGUCAACAAAGAAUUGCACAGUGACUAAACUAAAACAGAUUCAAUUACAGCUGAUCCAAGCUAACACAAUCUAACAGUAAACAAAAUGGAACUUUUGGGACUAAUUAAUGGAACAAAGAAAAAACAUAAGCAGCUAGCAAACCAGCAUUGAGCAGAGAAGAUCAUUGUGGUCGUGGUGCAUAGAGACUGAGAUCAGUAGUUUGAUUAGGAAUAGCCGAAGCAGUGGAGUUGCUCGGCGGAAGAGGUGGAUGAGGAUGCAUUGUGAUUGGAGGUCUCCUAUUCAUUGGAGCAUGGAAACUAGCUAGAAAGAGUUGGCGGUGAAGUCCAUGCAGGAGGCGAAAAUCGAGUACUCACAGCAGCAGAAUUUGAUGGAUUUAUAUGCUGCAACCGCUGCAAAAACGAGUUCAUUAAAGAUUGCAGUGGUAUUGGUGGUGGUCCUAAGAUGUUAUAUCCAUUGACACUCAAUUGACUCUGAAGAUCAAAUUCAUCAGAUUUGUUGUUGUUUUGCACCUUGUUCUUUUCUUCGAUCCAAGCUUCACAAACCAACAACAUAUACUCAAUUUCUUGAACUGUACAUGGAGCACUCACUGAUUUGGCAUUGAUGCAUGUCACAGCAGCCUCAUAUUCCUUAGGCAAUCCUUCCAAUAUCGCAUCAAUGUGUUCUUGCAAGUUCACCGGCCUUUCUGCAAAAUCCAGAGAAUCUAUCAAGAUCUUGAUUCUGAGCAGAUAUUCCGAGACCGUUUCCGUGCUUUUCUUGGUGAUGCUGCCUAGUUCAGAUCGAUAUUGUCCAACCUUUGCGCGUGCUCGAGUUUUGAAGAAGUUAUGGAGUUCAUCCCAUAACUGUUUUGAAGUUUUGCAUCCAAUUACUCGUCUGAGCAUGGAUUCUGAUAGAGUGGAGAGAAUCCAAGAAAAGAGGAUCUGAUCUGUUUCAUCCCAAUCACUGUUAACAGAGCCUGCAUUGGGACUGAUUAUAGAAUCAGUCAAGAAUUUAUGAAGCCUGUGACCUUUGAUUACAGGUUCGACUAAUAGACGCCAUAUCAAGAAGUUUUCCUCAUCUAGUUUGAUGGAAAGUUUAGCCUUGUAGAUAGACAUUGGCGGCGGCGGAAGAAGCGGAGGAAAUGAGAAAGUGUUGGAUGCAGUAGGGGAAUUCUUGUUGUCUUUAGGAUUCUGGAGUGGGUUGCUUGGUGUUGAAAACAUGGUUUGAUAGUAUGUGAUGAUGAAGAUGAGAAAGUUAGAGAAAGUAAAGGAAAGUUUAGAGAGGUAAUAGAGUGUGAGAAUUAGAUUGAUUGUGAUUCUGUGUAGUUUAUAGAUGGAUAGAAGUAUUUAUAACAGAAUUUUGUUGUAACUGCCAUGUGAUAGUUAAUAACAGAGUCCAAACUAACUAAUAUAGUUUCUGUUGGGUGUUCUCAACUUAUCUGCUGCUCCAAGGUCUAUAUAUUCUCAUAAGCCUAUGUACCUUCGAACCUUUUUGCAAGAUUUUUAAUCACACAUCAUAUGUUGUUCGUCUUUUUUGUUUUUGUUUUUGAAAAACCUAUUCUUGUUGAGAAGAUGACUGUCGUACUUUUCACUAUAUGCGUCUUAAGAACACCCAUCUCCUUUUCCAAACUCAUCGCCACCAUUUAUAUACUCAAACCAGAAAUGCACGAAUUACAGCUAACCGUGCAUGUGUGAUCAUCCUUUAUGUUUAACAUAAUCUGUUUGCACUAAUCUACUGUAUGGGUUUUUACAACAGCAGAGUCAUUAGGUGUUGACUGUUUUAGCAGUUUGAUAAACAAAGGCUUCUUCAUCACUAAAGGCUAUUACUAUAACUAAAAUACACAUGUUCUCUGUUAGCACCCAACAAAUAUUUUACCAUUCCUCGGACCACACCUACUAUUCUUGUAUAAUUGUAAUUAGGUAAUUAUAUCCUACUAGAGUGAUGAUACUACUAGAGCAGACAACAUAUUUAUCCUUUAAUAGGUGCAGCAAUGGCACACAACAAUGCCACUUCAACUACUAUCAUAGAUCUUUUCGCCAACCACUGUUUUGCUGCCUUUUAUGGAGCCAUUGGAAGCAACAUAAGAACAAACUGUGGUACCGAGUUUUGGAUUCAAGCAAUUCUUUUACCGUAGGACUGGAAUUUGGCGAGACAGACCAGAAAUCGUUGCUACUAAGUGGCAAAAACCUGCCCAAUGACACUUCAAGUGUAACGUGGAUGUGUCAUUUUCAGCAAGGCUGAAAGAAAUGGUAUUGGUAUUUUCAUUCGGGACGAUCAUGGUCAAUUUGUUCUUGCUAAAACCAAAUGACAUACUCCAAUUAGAACAUAUUGAUUUCAAAUUGCAUUCUGAGAGAGCUGUUGAUUACUUGCACCGUGACAAAAUAUGUUACUGAAUUUGGUUGUGUUCUUAAUAGCUAUCGUCACAUUGUUAAUUCACAUUUUAGAAACUCUCAAGAGUUUGUUAUGAGGCAAGCCAAUGAAGAAACUAAUGCUCUUACAUGAAAUAGUCACAUCUCCAGUUUUCAAAUUCUUAUUGAUAUACCGUUCUGUAGGGAAAAACCGGUCGCUAACAUCUUCAUUUGCUGCUGCCAAAUGUCAAAUUUCCUUAAGCAAUUUUGAUAAAAAAGAAAAGAAAAGAGAGAGAGCAUAUAAAUGGAUAACCAAUAUUAAUUAUUUUUUCUCAUAAAUUAUUCGAAUAUAAGUCAUUCUACGGUUAACUUACGAAUAAAGAAACCUAAUUUAAUUUUACCAAUAUAAUUUAAGUCAGAAUUUUUUAACGAUACCCUACGGUUUCUAGUGGAAAGGCGGCCUUGGUAAUUGAAGUUCAGCUAGCAGGUAAGUGUGUCACUUUAAUUAAUGUAAAUCUCUACCGUUCUCAAAUUUUUUAAGUAAAAAUCUUUUGUAAAAGAUUUUUUUCUUAAGUAGAAACUUACAUUUACAUUGUAAAUGAAAACUUUAUUUGCAAUUUGUAUUAAUUAAAAGGGUUAAAAUGUUUUUUAUCCUUUUAAAGGUCUCAAAUUUUGCUUUUAGUCCUUCCAAAAAUUUUAAAUAAGUUUCGAUCACCCAUAUAUUUUCUGUCAAGACGUUCGAUCCAGACUUUUAAGUAAACUUAUGUGUAUCUUUUAAAAUUUUGAAUUAUUUUUUACAAUCUUGUUUAAUAUAUUAUAGAAAUCUCUUGCGAAAUUUUAAUUUUUUUAAUAGUAGAUGAAAUAAUAUGAAUUUUGAAGUUUUUAGAGCUUAAAAACUCGUUUUUUUUUUUUGACAAAAACAAAA
rnacentral:lncRNA from 1 species